rnacentral:lncRNA from 1 species
UGUUGCCCACUUAUCCGCACAAGCACAACGCAAGAUCGCACUACCAAGAUGGGCCUGGGAUCCGAUCAUGUGGGGGCCAAAGCCGCCUCCUUUUAGCCUUGCUAUCAAUAUCAAGAUGGUUGGAAGUUGGUGCCAGAAUUUUCAGCAUAUCACUCUCAAUAGUACCAUCAAUAUUCACUCCAGUCGACUCGUUAAAAGCUUCUAUGGAACAAUGCAGUCCAGUGGCGUCGCCACUGCUCUUGUCCUCCUGACCGACCAGUGAAAAAACCAGCAUCGACUUCGUAUAUAACCUAGAAUGAUAAGAGGAGGUACUCGUUGCAACAGUACAACAAAGCAGAGUUCAAGCGACUGCAAAACAGAGCAUUCGAGGUGGCUGCAUGCCCUCCUGUUCAAAGAAGAAGAAGAAGAAGAUAUGCACACCCAUAGGAAAGCAAAGCGGCCGAGGCAGUGCAAACAUGUUCAAAACGCAGAUCAGAUGCGAUACGCCCACAAACCUGAGAAACAAACACUUUAUAGCUAGAGGAAUCAAAUGCCCAGGCCCUCCUCCAUUAUGCACAUCUUUAGCACCAAAUUCAAACAUACUAGUCGAGUAGCGGGCCAGAGCCACAUGCUGGGAACAAGAUGGGCAGCAUUAUGCCACGUAUGCCCAUCAACUGAGCGUGCAAACUACUUCAGCUCCUGGCACUAUGCAUCACAACUAGCUUCCAUCAUCAUUUCCUCAUCUCUUCUUUUAACGCUCAGGGUCAAAAGCCAAAACUAGAGGUAGGCGUACAUCAAGUGCGUCCCCUUGAGACAAAAGCCCCAUAACCAAUUAACCAUAUCCAAAGCUCUUCAGGUUGGCCUGGGCCCAACAAAAAUGCAAGCUUCAAAGUUCCCAUCGUAUGUUUCCGUGAUUUCUGAUGGCCUGCUUUGUCACACAGUGGGGAAAAGGUAGGCAAAGCAUCAAGAAAGCAAAGAUAUGGCCACCUGCUUUAGCUUACCACUUCACUUGUUAUCAUAACUACCCAUAUUCUCCUUUGACACAUACUUUUUCUUUAACUUUCAGAGUUCCAGGGGAAUCUGGAAGGAGAACGAAGAAGGGAGAUAUAAUGUCAAAGAAGCAUUUCUACAAACAUAACUGUAUAUUAAAACUCAUGGACUGCAGUCUUUAAGGUACCUCUCUUCUCAUGACUAAGCGGUGACAGCUGAUUCCUUAUCUGAAGGGCAACAGUGACCUUGAUGAUUUUCAGAUGUUUCCAUCUUGCUUUUCAUGCUUCCAUCAGCUGAGAACAGAAUAAUAGUAUUGUAAUUGUUAGUGUCCUAACAAAUGAAUCGAAUUCUUGCAGCUGGCAGGAAUACUCUAAAGAUUAAACAAUGCUUGUCAUCAUAAAAGAACCAAAUUCUGCAUUUGAAGGAACUAGAAUUUCAUAGGCAUAGUACACAAUAUCUCAAAGAACAUUUAACAUGAGGAAUUGAAACAAACCAUCUAUUUUAUCCAACUCAGUCUUAUUGGAUUUGGAGCCUCUCCUUCGAUCAUCUCGAGAUGGCCUGUUGUAUAAAUCCUUGUAUUUUUCAAGCAACGCUUCCUUUUCUUCUAGUAGUCCAAGCAUUUCAUAUGCAUCUUCAACUUUCCGUAUAAUAUCUUUGCUUGGAGGUUUACGACCACAUGCUUCUAGUUCUUUGAAGAGCUAAAUCAUCAGAAAAGCAGGGCAAUUCAGACGUAUAAGUUGUGUUGUCACAUGAAAAUAAGUGAAAUAUAACCUAAACUGGAUCAGAAGUGACGGGGUUAAGGUUCAAACCUUCACAAGCCUUUCUAGCCUAUUAUUUCUAUAAUAGAUAGCCAGCAUAAGAUGACAGAAACGCCAAGGAACUGAAUGGAGGUCAUGGGAUAUUUUCUUCUGCCAGAUUUUAUGUGCUUCCUCAGCUCUAUUAUCCUUCUCAAGUGCACACACUAAUUGCUCAUAUGUUCUCAUUGUAUUUCCUUGCCCUUUGCUUAGCAUCCAUUUUAUCACCUGAAUAUGAUGUCAGACGAAAUUUACUUCAAAUGCAUAGAAGACAAAAACAGUUGAAAGUAACUUAGAAGAUACAAUACCUGGACAAUUCUAUGCCAUUGUUGCUCCUUUUCGAGAGCUGAAAGUGCUUGCUUUAGUGAAGCCAGAGGAAAAUCCUGCUCGAAGGCAACCCAAGCAUCAAGGGUGCCGUAAACAACUUCUCUUGAAUCUUCGAGGCCAAGGAGCUGCAGUUAGAUAAUGUUGUAUUUAGUAAUUUUGUUGCCCAGGGCAAAUGGCAGCUAAAUGACUGCAAUGAAAAAAAAUCUUAUUGGAAAUUUUCAAUAUGCACGAGUGGUGUAAUUUUAUCCACGCUAAACAAGAAUGGAGGCUAUAAUAUAUACACCCAGGUCAAUAUCAAAAGAUUAAUGCGCUGCUUUGUUCGUUUUAUACAUGCAAGGAUAUGAUCCUAUUAGUCAUUCAAAGAAGAGCCGACAGAUCCUAGCAUAAUCUACUUUCCUAGGACAACAAUUCAACAUAUAACGAAUUAGCUGCUAUCAUUCCUCUACCAAAAUCAAGAAAAUAAAGCAAAAUGUGAAUUAACUACUAUAUAUUAUCCUGCAGGUGAAAGAAAACUGCCUAUAAAAUGUACCAUACAAUACAAUUUGAAUCUGGUUAAUGAAAAAAAAAUGGAAUUACAUGCAAGCUAAAAAAAUCUUGUCGAUGUAUCUUUCAUUGUCACUUAUAAUUUUCAAAAUGUAAACACAUUAUUACAUGUGUAUCAUCAUCAUUUGAAACAUAAUAUGCUAUAUCUGUUAAUGAGAACACAUGAGCAGUGUACAUACAGUGUUGACAAGAAAUUUCCUUUUCUCUGCCGAAGACAAAUUUUUUCCAACAGGCCCUUGUUCCAACUCCCUUGUGCUCUUUUGUAUACGUUUGAUUAUUAUAUCAGUAUCCUGUGUAAGAAUGAUAAAUUCUUCAAUCCACACCUUAACCAUAUAUAAUGCCACAGUUUUGAAGCUAAACAUAAACCACCAACCUUGAAAUUGCAAGAAACUAUUCUAUGCAAUCAGUGCAUCCAAGUAGAAACACUGAAGAAGUACAUCUAGUUUGAAACUUUGAAUAUCAACUAGGCUAUUUGACAUGCUGAGCAAACAAAAGUAUUAGAGGAUUUCUGAAUACUGAACAACAAGAAGGAAAGACUGGCAAGACAAAAUAAUUACAAAGACAAAUAGAAUUGUUUCAAUACAAAACAAAGAGUGAUGGUAUUGUGCCUACCUUUGCAGGCGUAGUUGGUUCUAACUCCUUUUGCUGAUAUACUCGACCUCCGGCAACAUUUUUGGAAGUGGAGAAGUCUCUAGUAGCAUGCUUACACCAACCAGAUAUGGGCUAAGCAGAUGUUGCAGAGGUGAAAACAUUUUAGGACUAAACAGCAUUAAGGAAGAGCAACUUAUUGUUUAGGAUGCAGAGGUGUGUACCUCUAUCUGCGAACUCAAGAACCUGCACAAUUGUAAAUAAAAAGGAAAAGUUUAUCAAACACUAUCUUCUUAAGAAAUCGUAAACUACAAACCUAGUAAGAGGGAUUACAAAAGUUAGGAACUUGCAAUUUUAUAGUUCAAGAAUCAACUUAUUUAGACAUGCAAUUUCCACCCUCAUGGAUAUAUAGACGAUUGGCAACAAAAAAAAAGCUACUUUUUAUCUGUAAUUGGAAAUACUUUAGCCUCAGCAAGCAUAAUUUGGUUUCUCAAGGGAAAGGGGGGCAAAAUCCCAUUGCUUUCGCAACUCUGAACACCUGCAGUGGCAUGAAUGACAAGCUACUCGUUUCAACAACUAGUAAAGAACAGUACUAGGUAGUUAAUUGUUGCAAUUUAGUUGGACCACGACCAUCCAAGAGAAUUAUAAAACUAGCAGGAAGGCCCAACUGCGAAACAAGAAUGAGCAAGAAAAGCUAUGAAGAAGUUCCAAGUGUGUCUAUACUGUCACAGUAGCAACUCCGAUCCAUUAAGCAGCAGUUGACAACACUGGGGGUAAAUGAGAUUGGGGUAUCGUAGUGUGAAGAGGUAAACAGAAAAAGAGCGCAGUCGGCACAAGCUCGGCAUCACAGUCUUUUUUUGCAAUUAAAAGUGAACUGGCUGUUGGACACCGCUACUACUGCGGCUAGGUUAGUGGUAGACUGGUAACAGUGGUGAUUUGCUAGGAGACAAGACAAGCAUGGUGAUUUGAAGGAAGGAAAAAGAAUGGGGCUGUAGACUAAUGAUAGGGGACUGGGAAACGGAAGGGAAGGAACUCACCGGUGGAGGGGAACGGGGUCGCAGGCUGCGUGGCCGCUGGCGGGUAGGCGGUGAAGAGCGCGGAGGGAUCGCCGGAGAUGCCGGAGCAUGGCGGCGGCGGCGGCGGCGGCGGAAAGCCUUGUACGGCUGGCACGUCGGUGUCUGGGAGCGGCGCAGGCUCCCUAAGGCAGAGAGCCAGAGAGGAUCCGUGUGGGCUGGGCUCCCAAGUCCCACGCAGUGCAGGCCGAUGGGCCGUAGAGUAGAUAGAGCCCAUAUAUCUAGAUAGCAGCCGUGUGGAGUGAGCACACACGUUGUUGGAUAGCCAAACUGAUGUUGAUUAGUAUUUGGCGUAUGUAACUUGUUGAGUCCAUUUGUCGCCGUAUCUUUUGUCAGUGUUUGAUGAAGGCUACUGAUUACUGAAUCCAAGGUAAAAUAUUCCUACCUGGGCUAAAUAUUAAUCUUUGUUUCGUCCUUGAUUGAUGUCCUGAUCAACGUCGUUGCACCGGCAGCUGAUUAAAAGAGACAAGAGACGAUAAUGACAAUUAAAACGAAAUAAUCGAUACUAUCCAUAGUCAAAGAUUGUAGUAAGAGGAUCGUCGGACGAUUAGCAAAUUUAUGUAGGUAGACAACAAGUGCUGCCGUCCAGCAACUCUCGAUCUCUCAAUUGGUUAUUAUUGCUGCAGUGGAGCUGGAGAUCGAUUGGUCGGCAGGACAGGAUCCAACAACAGAUCGAAGAAGAAUAGAAAUGGCGAACAAGCUCAAGCUCUCCGGGGCUGCCGUGCUGCUCAUCAUCGUGGUGCCCCUUUUCGUGUACGCCGGUGCUCUCCUCAUCGGCAUCCAGCUCGGGCGGGCGCUCGAGAGGAGCCCCGACAGCGCCAGCGUCAGCUUCAGCAUCAGAGGGGCCCUCGCCUACCUCGCAAAGGUGAUUGAUCCAUAUAUGCACACAUGCCGUCCACUGAUUGUGUAUGUAACUGCUGCUGCUUGUUGCUGAUCAUGUUUUGGGUAGGUAAAAGAAAAGGGAGGUGAUUAAUUUUACCAAUUUCAGGAGCUCUGGGAUGCCAACAAUGUUUUGGGAUUGGGACGGCAGCGAGGCAGGGGUGAAAGACUAGCGCAGGUGUGGCAACCCGUUUCGGUGAGCCUUGUUCGUGAUUGGAUCCCAUCGCCAUGCGUCGAAGGCCAAGAUAAUAGCAGUGCUACUCCCAAGGCCCAGCAGAGAUAUCGCACAAAUAAUCAUACUUCGGUACAUGCAUCUUUUUAGUAUAAUCAUUCUUCCUGUGCCUAUGAUAAACAAACUUGUUUAGUUUUAGCUUUUUACGAUGACUAACUGCUACUAUGAAUUAUGAACGAUGGAUGAUGAGCAGCCUCGGGGCGUGAUCAGCGUCGGGACGUGGGGUGGAUCCGGCGGGAAGCCAUUCUACAUGCGUGCGUCCAGCCCUCCUCGCCUCCGCAGCAUCACCUUGUACCAUUCCAGCGCGAUCCACUCCAUGGCUUGCGACUACUACUCCCCAGCUGCUGCUGCUGCUGCUCAGUGGGGGCUCCCGCACUCCUUCGGCUCCAAAGGAGUUCCUGCAGUGGUAACUAAAUUAGCUGAACCUUCUUCUUCAUUCUUCUUCUAUGAAUUAAUGAAAGCAGUAGUUGCUAGGAGUGAAUCAAUCGAAGCUAGCAGCCCUGAUCGAUUUGCUGCAGAUCGAGCUGUCUGCCGGUGAGCAUGUCACUGCGGUGGCGGGCACGAUCGGCCAUUUCGGGAGCGUCCCCGAUGCCGUCAUCACCUCGCUGACGUUCCGCACCAGCACCGGCAGGACGUAUGGGCCGUACGGCAACAAGACGACGACGACUUUCUCUGUGCCGGCGGCGGACGGCGCCUGCAUCGUCGGCUUCUGGGGGCGCUCCGGCUGGCUUCUCGAUGCCAUUGGGGUCUACAUCAAGCCAUCAUGCUCCUCCUCAAACCCGGCCGGCUACAACUACAGCCAUCAGCCAUACGCCGUGCGCCCGCCCACCGAGAUGGAGCAAAGGAAGAUUUAAAAGGCUGCUGGCUUCUUGACGCCAUUGUUGGCUGGGGUUUGCUUGUGCUGCUGUUGUUACAAACUACUGUAGCUUUGCUUGUGCUGCUGUUACAAAAGCAUAAAUAAAUGUGCGUUAGACUGGCGGUGAUAGCAAUUUGUGCGGUGCAACCUAUGCUGGCCCAUGGGCCGUGCAGUUAGUAAUUUCCACGGCUGGUGGAGUCCGACUCGAAUCCACCCAGGUUUUGGGUUGGGUUGCAGCAUAAAUCUGGUGCAAGCAAGCACGUACGUACGGUGGUGGAAUCGAUCGAAUCAAGACCGUGCGACGUUUUCUGCCCUAAUCUCAGACCCAUCUUCAGGCAGGUGCAGCAGCACGGCGGAGACCGACCGGCCAAGGCGGAGCAGACGCCGCCGGUGAUCAUGGAGGACAAAGCAGCCACGACUACCACCAAUUAAUAAAGAGAGAAGAAAUCCUGUUUCAUGAGACAAGGACAUACUACUCUGUUAUGCAGACUAUUAAGCCGCCAAAGCUUACUAAACAUUGAAACUACUCAGCACCACAAGAAACUAAAGCACUUGAAAAUUAAUAAUAAAGCAAAUAUAACUACUAGGCUGACGGAUGAAUUCACAGUACAUGGGUCAAUCUCAAUGGGAAGUUUCACGAGCAUUAAAUGUUAUGCCACGUCAGCAAUUUUAUUGACUUGGUAGGGUCAUUAUGAGAAGAGAGGAUGUGGAGUUUCAUCUCCAUGAAACCCAUCUGGCUCGGUUAUCAAGUACCUAAUCUUGAUAACAUUGCAAUGAAAUUCCCCAUUAAAACUAGCCUUACAAUCCAGCGUGAAUUAUCAACGAGAGAGAGACAAGCAGGUGAAGCUGUUUGGCUUCUGGCCAAACCCCUACGUUUUCAAAGUGAUAUGGGCGCCAAGGAUCAAAGGCGUGGAGUACGACUACAACCCCGUGCACAAGAAAAUUCCUGUGCUUGUCUAUCAAGGUAAACCCAUCGCAGAGUCAUAGGUCAUACUCGAGUUCAUCGAUGAGGCGUGGAAGGACCGCGGUGACCGUAUCCUGCCGGAGGAUCCCUACGAGCGUGCCAUGGCCUGUUUCUGGGUGAGGUUUCUGCAGGAUAAGGUCAGAAAUUUACAAUUUUCUUCUGUUCAUCACUUCUGAACUUUUGAUUCCCACUUCCAAUUACAGUCAUUCUCCAUAGAUCGUGUGUAAUUUGAGAAUAUGAAACAAAAGCAUGUAAUACUUGUACAUUCUUUUAGCUCUCGCCACCGAUUUGGAAGUGGUUCACCACGCAAGGCCAAGAACAGGAGGAUGCACACGAAGCUGCCAUAGAGCAGCUGCUGGUUCUGGAGAAGGAGCUUGAUGGGAAGCGAUUCUUUGCCGGCGAGAAGAUUGGGUUCGUGGACUUAUCGCUUGGUCCGCUGUCGUAUGUGAUUCCGAUGUACGAGGAGAUCACUGGUGUCAAGAUGAUCGCAGGGGAGAAGCUCCCUUCCCUGUCUGCGUGGAUGGGGAAUUUCUUGAGCUCGCCGGUGGUGAAGGACCACCUGCCACCGCUGGACAAGUUGCGGCUCAGGUUACAAACAAUACGUGAAGCAUUUCUAAACGGCAAAGUUAAGUAGUAGAGGUCAUCUUGCCACUGAGCCUCUUCAGUUUGAUCGGGAUCAGAGGGUCAAUAUAUGGCACAAAUAGUGUUUGCACCGAAAAUAAAGAAUUAAAAAAACAAAUAGUGUUUCCUACACUUGUUACUGCAGUUUCUCAAGUACCUACUAGCGUGUGUAACUGAAAGGAGGACUAUUAUCAGACUGCAAAUAUUUCACCUUAUUUUCCGCAAGUGAUUUGCAUCCAAUAUUUUACCUGCACUAGUUGCUUGCUAUUUUACCUCCUUGACCUUGUUGCUGUACCAUGAAUGCCAGCCUGAUGUUUGUUGCAGGGUGGCCCGAGCUGAACUGUGCCAGUGGACUGGAAGUGAGAGGCCCAAGCCCGUUUAUAUUGCUGCCCCCUCUUGUCGCCACAUUUUCACUAGGACGGUACAACUGUAGAAGUGGGGAGGUUAAGUUUUUGACAGUCCAAGUGCAUGCACACAACCGUUUCACUACGCGAUGGCAAGUAUUGUAGCAGUACAGCAGUGUAGACAACCGUGGCCGUGGGGCCGUCAGGCCAUGGCACAACAUAGCCGUGCGUGUGCCCGUGCAUGUUCUGGAGCUCUAUGACAGUAACCCAUCCAGCAGGGACUCAGGUGUUCAGAAAGAACUUUGUUUAUUAUUGGCACGUCGAUCAUCUGGGACCUUGAGCGGCUAUACACUGUACUGAACACGCGAGAAUCCAAGAUGUUGUGCUGUUUCCUAAGGUUCGUCUCGUCCCAUUGGAAGAAUAUAAGUCCAAUAUAAGGACAAUACCAUAGCUCUGCCACAUCGGAUGUUUGUAUUAAAUAUAAGUUAAUUAUAAAACUAAUUGUACAAAUGAAGGUUAAUUCCCGAGAUGAAUGUAUUAAACCUAAUUAGUCUAUAAUUUGAUAAUAUGGUGUUACAGUAACCAUUUACUAAUGAUGGAUUAAUUAGGUUUAAUAGAUUCGUCUCGCGAAUUAGCACGGGGCUUCUACAAUUAGUUUUAUAAUUAGCUCAACUAGUCCAUCAACCCGUGCUCCCGCACGGGCUAAUAUUUUUAGAAGCUAUUGUAUUUAAAAAUUAUUUAGAAAUUAAACUCCUAGCUAAUAAUCAAAAUUAUUUACCUACCACUUUCUUAUUUUUCAAUACUUCACGUAAUACUUAUAUAGAUAUAUGUAUCUAUCUUUGUCUAGUGAUUGAUUUUUAAUUAAUAAUUACUCUAUGCAUGUUUUCAUCCAUAUUCGUACUUUUUCCAUUUUGUAUCACACCUCCAAUCCUCCAUACAUUAUGUUUAGCAUACAAACCAAUAUUUUUCAUGGAUUCCUCACAUACAUGUAUAAAUAGUCUAAAAAGGUGGCACUCAUCAUGUGUAUAUACUUUAACUUAGUAUUUUUAUAUUAAUAAUGACGUAAAUAGGUAAUUUAGAAUCAUAUAUUAGUUUACUUUUUGAUAUUUCUGUAUGAUGCACAUGAAGAUAAUUAGAUUAAUAUUUAGGUGUUUACUUUAGGUUAUUUUUAAUAAUGACACACAUGGGUAACAUAGAUAAAAUUUUAGAAUGACAUUUUAAGUUAUGCUUUAUAAUUAUGUGUAUUAGUAAAUUGGAGGAAGAUUAUGGGGUUACUUUAGAUUAUUUUUUAUAAUAGCUGAGCUCGGUAAUUUAGAUAUAGGUUUAGAGCUCAUUUUUUGAUAUUUUGAUAAUGACAGUGGUGGGUAACUUUUUAAAAAAUAUAAUAGAUCAAUGGCUAUGAUUAUUAGAGUUUACAGGAUUGGUGCUUGAUGUUUUUAAUUUUUACAAGAAUUUGUCUCUUUUUUCUACCUUGUCUCGUGGGAACUAUUGUGGAGUCUCCAAUGGAAAAAAAUUAGACUACACUGCUACAAAACUAUUACCAUAAGCUACCUCUCGUUUGUUAAAUAUUCGAACACAAUAUUUAUGUAGAUAUAUACUUAAUAUCUUCAUCCAAUUGUGAUCGAUUUUAGUUAGUAAUUACUCUAUAAUAUUUUCAACCUCAUUUAUAAUCUUUAACUUUUCACUUUGCACCGCAGGUAUGCGCUUGAAUUUAUUUAAUGAACCCUAAGUUUGAGAUACAAUUUUAGCAUAGAAAUCUAUAUUAUCAUCAUUUUAUAUCCCUAUAAAUGGUGACACACAUCAUGCGUAUAGACCUUAAUUGUUAUAUCAUAUACCAAUAGUGAAAGAUAUAGAUGAUUUAGAAUCAUAUAUUGCUGUAUAUUUUUAAUUAAGGUUAUUUGAUUCAAAUGUAGGGUUACCUCAUGUUAUUUUUAAUAAUGGCAUAUGUGGGUAAUAUAGAUGCAAAUUUGAGGGGUUACUUUAAGUUUAAACUUUGGUAGGCAAUUCAAUUGCAAAUUAGGGGGUUAUUUUAAAUAUUGUUUAUAACAGCAUAAGUAGGUAAUUUGGAUAAAGAUUAGGGGGCUACUUUAAUUUAUUUUAUAUAAUAGCAGAGGUGGGUAAUUUAUAUAUAGAUUUAGGGGGUUACUUUAGGCUAUUUUCAUAAUGGCAUAGGUGGGUAAUUUUUUAAAAAACAUAGUAGAUCCAAUGGCUAUGAUGAUUUGAAUCUAUCGAUUGAUGGUUGGAUGUUUUGCUUUUUUGAGAGAAUUUUUAGGAUUUCUCUCUUUUUCUAGAGUGUCUACCUAGGAAUCCUAGGUGGCUUCACCUGGAAGCUUCAAAAGGAGCCUCCAAUUAGUAAUAGUAGAUGUUUAGUUUUUCUGAUUAGCACCUUAACAUUCGAUGUGAUCAGAGCUAAACUUUAACCUAAGAUCCAAACACGCCCACAUUCGAUGUGAUCAGACCUAAACUUUAACCUAAGAUCCAAACACGCCCUAAGCGAGUACCGUUGCCAUGUUCAGCGUAGGGUUCAUCAAAAAGAAAUAAAAAAAGCUUAUAUCUCGUAGUGGACACAAGGAGUACCUCGAAAUUUGCUUCGAUGAUUAUAAAGGGUUAAUUAGAUAUAUGUCAUUACAAUUUUCGCUUGCCCAUUGUCUUCUUCCUUGCCCCUUCUCUCACCUUCAUCUCUCCUUUUUUCCCACCGGAGCAGCCACCAAAUCCAAGCUCCGCAGCCGCAUCUCCUUCGUGCUCCCCGUCACAGAGCGCGACCGCGACGACCGCUCCAGUAGCGACGGUGCCAGCACCGCCUCCCCGUCCCCGUCCCCGUCCCCGCGCAAGGACGCCGACGCCGCCGCGCCCGCCGUGGUCCGCACCACCGCCGCCGAGUUCGUGCGCCGGUACGCGCAGGGUCGGGAGCUCGGCCGCCCCCGCCACGGGGAAUGCCGGCGCGUCGCCGGGGCAGGACAGGGCGGCGCACGCGGUGGACGUGCAGCGGGAGGUGGCCAUCAUGUGCCGCAUGUUGGCCCGCGGCGGUGCACUCGCGAGGCAGGGGCGGAGCUCGGCAGAUUUGGUGGCGGUGGUUGCAGCCUCCGUCGGAAGAAGACUGGGGAUUGGGGAAGAAAGGAAAGAGGAGGGGAAGAGGAAGAAGACAGGGGCAAUUUGGUCCGAAUGUUUUGAGAAACGAAGGGGGUAAGUAAUAGCAUAUAUAAGAUAAAGAACGAAUUGUGAUGAUACAGUUACGAAUAGGCGAAUAUAAGACAAAGAACGAAUUGUAAUGGUACGAUUAUGAACGAAUUGUAAUGGUACGGUUAUGAAUAGCCGAAUAUAAGAUAAAGAACGAAUUGUAAUGGCACGAUUACGAAUAGGCGAAUAGUAAUAACAUAUCUCCUAGACGCGAAAAUUGUAAUGGCAUAUAUCCUAUUAACCUAUUAUACAACGAUCGAAGAAGUUGUUACUGCUAGCAGUGACUUCAAUGUGGAGGACCCAGCCCACUCGUUCAGCAAACAGAGGUACGGGGGCAAAGCCCAAGCCUCCAGCGUUGCUUAAUUUCGUGGCCCCGGAAACGCAGUCCCAGCAUCAAUCACUUUGAUCUGUGAAUGGCUUUGCCUGCAUUCAUCUCAUGCCCGGUGGUUAGGAGCAAGUAACGACCAAUUCUCUACCCUAGCUUUCCUAUAUCAUGUUCAUACAGCUAAGAAGACACGAGCAAGACAUCAGCUGCACUGUUGCUCUUUCUGAUGGCGAUGGCGAGACCAUGCAUGCAGAGUUGCAAACGACGCAGAUCAUCCAAUCCAAUGCAUGGUGCCAACAAGCGUGAGCACGAGACAACCCGUUUGCAUCGCCAGCCAUGAGACAAGUUCAUUCUGCAUGCACCAAGCUCAAGCAAGUUGGGCAUCCCAUCCCAUAUACCGAAAGGUGAGUGUGCUGUUCCCCCUUUCCCCAUCAGGUCUCCCUCCAUUCACUCACAGCCACGUCAAUCUCACACUGCAUCAGAUUCUCCUCGCUCUCAUGCACCUUUCGGUUGCCCAGAAAAUCGGCAAACCGGACCAAACCUCCACAAACAAUUUAACUAUUAUCACCAAAAUUGAAAAUUCUUGUAUUCCAAAUGGGCAUUACAUUCUCUGCCACCUGUCGAUCAAAUGCUGCAGAAUGCAUUCCAAAUGAGCUUUAGAAUCAGAACAAGCAGUUGUUAUGUGCAGGAAAAUCUAAAGCAAACAUAAGCCCUUCACCAUAUAAUAAAACCACAUUAUCGAAACAUGACAGAGAUGAAAUAUUGGCUGAUAAUUACUUUUCCAUUUCUUUGUCUGCUACCCCUCCUGCUGUUCUACUACAAGGAUGAAAAGAAGAGCAAAAGGUGGAUGCACAGACCCAAGGAGUGCUGCAACUGCAAGCAUACAUGACAACAGCAAUGGGCAAAAUAGGACACAGAUGAGGGGUCCCUGCUGAAUUGCUCAUGUGAGUGCUCCGGUCCCAGCAGUACCCCCUCUCGUCGCGUCACUUUUCCUUGUGCUGUUGUGCAGCUGCAGCACCAUGACCGUCUGGCUUUUGUCCACUCCUCUACCUCUCUAGCAGUCUAGCCUCUGUUUUCUUUGGAUGUCUGUAUGCAGCCAUGUCACUUCACUGCAACUGGCUGCCAGGACUACUACACCAUCUACGGUUUAAUGACCUGUAUCAUUCUGAGAUCCAUACUACAAACGAGCAUACCGGAUGGACCUUUGAUCUUUGUUCUUGAUACCGGCAGGAGCUACUAAACGACUAUUAUUUAUAGGGCUACUAUCAUAUACUUAGACCUAGAGCUAAAACAACCUAGACUUGUUUCUUUGUUGCUGUUGCUGUUGCUGUUCCCUCCCUGACGAUACACCUAUUAUUUGUUAAAGCUUUCUUCUACCCUUUCCUCCACUUGAUGGGGUCAUGAUAGUCCCUGCAGGCAGCACAUCAAUAAACAAUGACAGGACUAUCAGGAGGGGGAGGCUAAUUUUAUAUGCAUCAUGAUUGAGCAGCUGAUUGUUACAGCACUCUCAUAAAGAAAGACAGGGCAGUUGAUACUUACUCCCAGAUUAGAGGAAAGGGGACCCCUUUUGCUCUGUAUUCACAGGCCAAUGGCUUCAUGCCCAGGAGCAAACCUGAAGAAAAACAGAGGUAAAACAAUCUUUCUUAUCACAUAAAUAGCAAUAAGAAAACAUCCUGCUGUUAACCUAUAACUUCUAAGAAACACCCAUGUAUAAAAUCCGAUUUUUUCCCAACCCUACCCAUGACCGAUGAGGUUGAGUCCAUGUAUGCAUAGCACCUCUAUUAAUUCGUAUGGGUGCUAACUCAUAGCACUAUGUUUGAAGAGCUAAUAGGUUCGCCCAACCUAUCUAGACUACCAAGGUUCAACUAAUUCGACCACAAUGAAAUAUUUUAGGUUACACAAACCGAAACUACAAAUAGAAAGGGACAAGGGUAUUACAAAAGAUUAUGCUUUACUCAAACAGUUAUGGACAAGCCAAAACUUACGAACAGUAUGAACAAGAGUAUGAAAGAUUAAAUUACUGAAUAUUUACCUGGGCACCUGAAAGAAGCAGGAGUUGUAUGGGGGCAGCUCAAGGGUGGAUGUAGGUGGGAAGAGGGAUGAAGCCACAUGAUGAGGGUUGCUGUUGCUGAUGUUACCAUUUUGACCUGUCGUAGAAGUAUCAGUGAAGGCCUUGGUGGGUGAUGCAAAGGGGCUCUCAGGCAAAAUGUGCUCCACCACGCCACUACAAUUCAAACAAACAAGGAACAUAUCAAUCCUGGAAAGAUCAAGACCAAACCCAAAGAAAGGGAACAAGUUACAACAAGAUACGGCUUAAAAAUAGCCAUUAGUUUCGUUUCUCCUUUCCCCUACCCUUUACUAUGGCUUUUCUUUUCCCCUUUUGUUACUUCCAAUCAAGAGAACAAAUCAUCAGCCACCCUAACAGCCUAUAUACCUCACCUCCAUUAACAAUUCGUCAAUUCCUUUUAGAGGAGUGUUAGCUUUAGGCCAGAGAAUAAAUAGAUCAUAGACAAAAAAAAACAUUUUCAUUCAACUAUCACAUAUUGCCAAAUCUUUGCUAAACUAUAACCACGGAUAAGUUUCCAACAAUUUGUUAGCAGUGGCAAAUUUAGAGCAAUGACAGAUGGCAAAAGUGUGGCAUGGCUACGUUUACAUUUAUCAACCAGCCAAACAUGCCCAAAGAAAGGAAAAAUUAAGCAGGCCAGCUUUGUUUCUCUAUGCUGCCUUUUCUCCAUUCCUUUCCCCUAAAAGAAAUACCAACUAGCGUACCCAUUUGGUAAAUAUUUAACUCCACAACAACAAUCUUACCUUUCUUGGAAUGCGCAAGCAACAUUGGGUGUUGCUGUCACAGGACCAGAUUCCCUCUUCUCUUCCCCAGGGUUGACCACCUGCUUGGGACUGGCAUCACCAUCCUCUUCCUGCUGCUCCUCGUGCCUGCCUUCUGCAUCAGUUGCAGAGACAGCAGCAGCUGCAGGCGCACUCAUUGCAAGAAUUGUACUGUUCAUCUUGCUAUCUACAAUCAUGGAUUCAAAGUCACGACCUCUAAACCUGCAAGCACCUCACCAAUGCAAGAGAGCCAAGAACUUGUCAGGGUCAAGAAGUAGACCUUGGAUGGUGACAUCCUCCAUAUGGACGGCAUUGCCAUUCCCAUUGAUGCUGCCUUUGCCAUCAGCUUGUCCCAGAGGCACGGGGGAGCCGAGAUGGUGACCCCUGCUCUUGAGGUCAAGGAGUUGCAGCCUCACGAACCGGCGUCCCUCGAGCUCAAUGGCUUGCUGCAGCUCGGCCGCCUGCUGCUGCUCUUCCAGCUUCCUCCUCAGAAACGCCUCAUGGUUAGCAAUGUUCCCGUACAUCAUCCUUGGUCCUAGCAAUUGCAAGAUCAACAAGUCAAAACACCUGCAAUCUGCAACAGAAAUGACACAUGCAUGCAGAAAAUGAGAACGGUUACUACUCACCAAUCUGCGGCUGCUGCAGAUCGAAAGGGUCCCUGGAAUCGAGCAAUCCAGUGGGCGAGGUGCAGCCAACGAAGUCGCCGUGGUGCGCGUGCUGCAGCUUCCUGCAAUCAAACAAAAAAACAAAGCAAAAGAAAAGUUGCUUUAGAGGAACAGAAACCGCCAAGCAACGUGCAAUGUAGGAUGGAUUGGGACGGACGGACCUGAACCUGUCUGGGACCUUUCCCUUCUCCUUGUAUGGCUUGACGAGCACGCGCGCGUUGCACACGAAAUGCGGGUUGCCCUUGUUGAGGAUGAUCUUCACCGUCUCCGCGUAGACGAAGGUGACGAAGCCGAACAUGCGCUUCUGCUGGUAGGGGAUGCGCACGUCCUGCACCGGUCCGUACAUGCUGCUCGAUCGAAAUCAAAGGCAAUCGAUUUCGUUCAUUAUUGGUGACAAUCCAAACAAAACAGAAGCUAUAAUAAUGGCGGCGUGCUUGGUACCUGAAGUAGUUGGACACGUCCUCCUCGCUGAAGGUGGAGUCGGCCGGGAAGGUCAGGUAGAUCUGCCGCGCCGCGGGGCUGCCGAUGAGCUCGCCGCGGUCCAUCCGAGGCGACCGCACCGGGAACCUGUGCAUGUCCUCGCCGCCGAGCAGAAUGCCCGCCGCCGCCGCUCUGAAACAGCAACGCCAAAUCAGGAAAGGUGGGCACAAGACCCAAACCAAAAUGCAAUCUUUGCAGGUAAAAAUGGCACCUUUGGUGCUCGUGCUGCUGCUGCUGCUGGAGCAGGAAGUUGAGGCUGACGCCUUUGGGCGGCGACGGCGAGAAGGGGAACGCGGACGCCGUGAGCUGCUGCGACCGCGCGGCGGCCAAGGCCUUGGCGCGCAUGACCGCCAUCUCCCGCUCCGCCGCCACCGCCGCGUCGUCCUCGGGCAGGCCGUGCAGGAACCUGCAGGAGGAGCCGUUCUUGCAGUAGCCGCGCGCGAAGUACAUGCACGGCCUCCACGCGCCCACCUCGGCGUCGCUCAGCGAGAAGCUCCGGCGGUGACCGCCGCUCGCCGGCGACCAGCAGUCGUACUCGCCCUCGGGGUAGAACGCGUCGCCGCUGUCGGAGCCCACCUGGUCGGCGGCGAACGGCGACUGAUGGUCACCUCCCCCGGGGCUCGGGACGCCGCCCCAGGGCGAGCCAAGCACGGGCGACGGCGGGGACGCGGGCUUGGCGGCGAGCUCGGCGCGGGCGGUGGCGACGAAGGCGUGGAGGAGGUGGUCGGGGCCGAAGGCGAGGCGGAUGAGCUCCUUGUCGCUGUUGUCCUGGAUGAGGAACAGGCCCAUGAUCUUGGAGGCGUUGUCGGGGUCUAGCGCGCGCACCCGGUCGAACACCACCUUAGUGGCCUCCCAGGCGUCCAUGGCGUCCGCCGCGGGGAGCAGGAGCAGCGCGGCGGUUCUUCCGCUUCUUGAAGGGGGGAGAUCGAUGGAGACGGACGGGAGGUGAAAAGCAGCGAAGGUGAAAACAGGGAGGGGAGGGGAGCGGGAUGUGGGGGCACGGUUGUAAAAAGCUAGCACAGCAGCACAGUGAAUUAAAUAGGCUGGUUGUGGUUGGGUUGGAGACGGUGCACACCCAAACUGGCCCCUUCGGUUUCCCUCCAUCAAUGUUUCGGGGAAAUUUUUGGUGGGGAGUUUGAAUUGAGCGGUUGUUUUGCUUGCGUGACAAGGAGUCAAGGACCCAAGAGAUAAUAUUUUCAAAGAAAAAAAAAUACCCCAGGGAUACUAUACUUUGAUUUGAAAUUUGGAUUGUAAGAUGACGCGACAUUCAAAUUCGAGUGUUAAUAGUUGCAUACCUAGUUUGAUUUUAUUCAUUUUUUGUGUUAUCAAUCUUUCAGAUGUAAAUAAGUAGAGUAGUAUUAGUAUUGCUCAAUCUAUAAGUAAAACCACUCCGCGUAAGGAGUUCAAAAUUUGAACCAUCGAUAUUCGACGGAGAACUCGAGGAGCGGUGCUUUCAAUUUUUUUCCCAUGUUUAAUAGUCAUGAUUACCUAACGGUAGCUGUAGUUGGCGUAUGCAGUUUCACUUUGAACGGUCUUUUUGUGCGUUACUAUUUGUUGGCGUAUAUGUCUUUACUUGAGCAGUUUUACAGCCCCCUCAUGCGAAUAGAUGCGGUAUCCGAUGAACACCUCAAUAAUUAGGAUGGUUGGCCAAUUUUUUUACAAAUUAGAAUCCAAUGUAGAAAAGACAUAGGUGCUAUGCUUCAUGAAUUUAGGUUGCGCUAGUACUCAUACUGCAAACAACACAUGCGAGGGCUUUUCAUGUAUUAGUUUUUUUUUAAGACUCGGCUAUAUGUUCAAAAUUGUAUAUCUUAUUUUAGAAGCUCUUUGAGUCAAAGUACUCAAAGGGCCAAGAGAUGCUUGAUUACGAACUUGGCUUGAAUGAUCACUAGAGGUUCAAGUUUUGGUGCUAAUAGGUGCAUAAUCUAAUUUGAUAUUAAUCAAAUUUCCGUGCUACGAGGACUCGAGCAGUUUACCGUCCUAUCUUCUCUGCCUUUGCGCGAAACAAGCAUGCAUGCCAUCUUUGCUCUACUGCUACAUCAUUUUCUCUGCUCCAAUCAUCAAAACUGAAGUGAUAGUAGUAUAUUACGGCAUCGAGUCCUCUUUCUCCCCAGCCAUCAUCUCGAAUUAUAUUGUUGCAAACUCGUAUGCUACACUUGUUUCGUUUGUGUCGUGUACUUGUGUGCAUGCUUGCCUGAUCUCUUGAGGCAUCGCUUUAUUUAAUCAUCAUACUGUUACAUACUUGGUUGCAUACACAACGAGGCCUUUGUUAAACCUGGAACUUCCAUUAGUAUCACUAAUUAGAACUAAAGCAAUUAAGCAGGAGUUUUAAUCAGGGAAAAAGCAAGCUAGUAACAAAAAAUUGCAUUGAGCAACAAGCAGCGAGGUCACUGGUGGCUGGUAGGAGCUUUGCUUGCAGUCCCGGGUUGCCUUGCAAGAAACAAAACUGAUUUGUCCUUAACUUACCUUCAUGCCUCGAUCGGCGUCCAUGUUUUGGUCCCUUUGCUCGUGUACUAUGCUGCAGCACCAGCGCAGCACGUCGAUGCAUAGGCAUAGGCGGCUGAGCUCACAGGAAACAGCACUCGUAUGCGUCACACUGCACAGCGUUUACUUCAAAAACUCCCUCAGAUGAUGAUGAUUACAAAUUACAGGGUGCACUAGCAACGGCGCACGUACGCAUGCAUGUUGUUGCUAGCUGUUUGCGUGAGUUGUCGCUGCGUGCCAAAACUCCCGUUUCCAAACGCGACAAGAAACGGCUGCAUGCAUCACUGCAGUCAGGGGAAAAAGGAGAGCUUGUGGGUGAGGGACUACUACCUGUCUACCAAGGAUACAACCAUACAACAUUUGGCCCCGCACUAUGCAUUGCUAGCUUGCCUUCAGUUUUAAUUCCACCUAGCCUCGUGCAGUACAUGAAUCCAAACACCCAUCGACCGAAUCGAUCGAUCGAGUACGUUUUUUGGUUGCUUGGCAUCGUGGUCCUAAUCUCACUGCAUCUAUCGUACCAUCAAAUCCAGCCAUGAACUAGCCUCCAAUAAUGGUUCCUUAUGACCUUCCCACAAGCACACUGAUGGUGUCUGCUUUGUUUGCACCUAAUAAGCUUGUAUGAGUGGACAAAUUCUUUUAUAUCGAAUAAGUAUACAUAUACAUAUAUUUUUUAGUACAUUUUCUUUUAAUUUUUAGUAUAUAAACAUGACAUGUGACAAUUUUUUUUAUCCGAGGUUGGCAAACUUAGGUGAUUAAUUAUGCUUCCCAAUUCAGGUGUCAUUGGAGCCGUACUCUUAUAAAAAAUUCAAAUAAUGCAGGUUAUAUGUGUAUACUGUCAAAACUUUGUAUAUUGGUAACUACUAUUAACUAGCUAGGGUAGUUAAAAAUUUGAAACAAUUGUUAGUGUCACUGAGAUCAACAAUAAAGCAAGUUGCAGUAAAAUGGUGGAGGAUGGAUAACAAGAGGUGAUCGAGAUGCUGCAUCGUUUUGGCAUGCAAACAGCUCCGAUGUGCGUGCGUCACUGUGCCAUCGAUCGCGGUGCACCGGAAACGCGCGUCCGCAUGCACACGCGGGCGAUCGAGCGAGAGACCUGGCCGUGGCCUGGGGGUGGUUGAGCCGCUCGUGCCUCCACUCCGUCUCGAGACACGACAUGGAACGGCUGCGUGUUCUGUGCCAAAAGGUGGAUCGGAGGAGCGUUGUGCGACUUUAAUUUGAAGCUCUUUUGGAAGAAAGAAACAAACAAAGAAAGAAACAGAAACAGCUAGCAUUCUACUCCAUCCGUCACAAAUUAUACAUCGUUUUGAUUUUAUUAGAUUCAUAAAUUUUAUUAUGUACUUAAAUAUACUCUAUAUCUGGUACAUUAUAAUAUCUAUAAAUCUAAAAAUAUCAAAACGAACUAUAAUUCGGAAUGGAGUGUGUAACAUUGUUGAGCUCCUAAUAUAUAAUGCAUAGGGAGGCUUGAUGCGUGCUAAUAAGUUGUUAGGGCAGUCCCAAUGGGACAUUGAUGAUAGUUUUUAUCCCUCUUAAUUAUCAUGCCAACUAAGCAAUUUGCUGAUGUUGCAGUAGAUUUAUUAUGAACAGAGAGAGAAACCAUUUCUUAGAGAGGAAACCAAGUCCUCACGCGUACCGAUGGGCCAAGAAAUCAGCGAAUCUGCAUUGGGGAGACCCAAGUAGUUUCUUCUUACUUACUCCCGGAUCCUUUGCGCUUGCACCGCUGCUACCCAUCACUCGAGCUCCUUUACAUGAUGCACAGAGGAUCUGGUACUAGAAGGGAGAAUGAUUAGUUGGAUUUUUGUUUAGACUCUGGAUAAAAAAUGUUGCAUUGUGAAGGAUGAUUUCUUGAUACAAUAUCCUGAACCAUGAAAACUAGGUUGGUUUCUGUCAUUGGGAGUGCCCUUAAACCUAUUUAAGCAUCCAUUUUCAUCCCAUGUAUUAACUAACUUUUACUGUAUAAGAAAAGUUGUGGUGGCCCUCGGCAGCAGGCUCUGCUCUAUUCUGGUCCUUUCAUCGUAGCGCGUGGGAAUGCGGGUACACGGCAUGUCAGUCUACCUCACAUGCAUGGUUGGUCGCAAGGUACCAACUUUAAUCCGACUAACAUCACUGACAGGUGGGACUCCAGGCUCAAGCUCUACGUACGUGAGUGUACUGUCCGUGCGCGUGUGCUUGGGUCAAUGGAUCCCCGCUCACAUGGCAGCAGUCACUCGGCCCUGGCUGGGGUCUCGCCUACUCCUGCAUGCAUUGCAGUGCACAAUAUGGCCCCAGUUGGUGGACCCGCCCGAUCCGACUUGUCAACUGCUGACACCGGCCUCGGGCCCGCAAGGCAGUGGCAUGGAAGACAGGAGUUGUUGGUUCCUCCUGUUCUGUUGAGGAGCAGCCGCAGAUACGAUGCAGCGCCUUUUCUUUCAGUCGAUAUCCAAUGCUUUAAGUUUUUGCCAUCAUAAAGAAUGAUCCGUACUGUAAAACCCCAAUAAUUGCUCCUUAGGGUGUUUGGAUACGAGUUGUUAAACUUUAACAGUGUCACAUCAGAUGUUCGGAUGCUAAUUAGGAGAACUAAACAUGAGCUAAUUAUAAAACUAAUUGCAGAACCCUGUGCUAAUUCGCGAGACGAAUCUAUUAAGCCUAAUUAAUCCAUCAUUAGCAAUUGGUUACUGUAGCACCACAUUGUCAAAUCAUGGACUAAUUAGGCUUAAUAGAUUCGUCUCGUGAAUUACACUCCAUCUGUGCAAUUAGUUUUGUAAUUAGCCUAUGUUUAAUACUCCUAAUUAGCAUCCAAACAUCCGAUGUGACAGGUGUUAAACUUUAACACAUGGUUGCCAAACAGGCCCUAACAAUAACUCGUUGCAAAGGUCUCCGAAAACAGAUAAUUCAAUGUUGGAAAAACCUCUCUGAACCUGAAUAUCCGGUCAAAUAACUACUCUCAGCAUUUUUUUUUUAUCAGUGAGUGUUCAUUGAUUCUGUUUGGGGCACCAAACAGUUCUUCUCCUACAUGCUAGUGGUUGAGUGACAAAGUUAAUGGUCCAAAGAUCACUUGCGCCUGCUUGAUUUGGGUUAAUUACAAUGUCUGACGCUGCCCGGCCACCAGCAACAACGUUGCCUAACCCUCAACUGGAGAUUGUAACGUCCCUCAGGAUUAUCUGCAAGAAAGAACAAUAUCUACAAAAGAGUGCUUAGUGUCAGUAAUCAACAUGUCUCGGUCUCGCGGUUUGCCAACUGGGUGAAUUCUACUAUCAGUUGUUCUUUUCAACCAACUUCUUGCCACAAUCGUUCAGAAGGAUUACUGUUUUCUCUUUGGAUAUUGUUGGUGUGGUAACCCUAUUUGCUUACCCUCAAGGUUCGACACUGACAUUUCCAUGAACAAUAAAAUAUUUCGUGUGAUUCUAUUCUGUCCAGAACAGCUGGCAAAGUAUAAAAAACGACCAAAGUGGGCAUUAUAUAAAUUAGUAAAAUAUGUCAGAUAAGGCUCCCUGAUUGCUUCUAAUGUACCUAAGAUUAUUUGGGUUCCAGUUACAUGUAGCUUUAUUUUAUAAACUGAUAAAAAAUGUUCAGAAUCUGGCCUCUAUAUACUAUUAUCCAUGCUAUACUUCUACCACUUUAUUCUGUUGGGCCCUGCAGGGCGACUGCUCAACGAUCUGUCCUCAUUAUUCAUAGUUAAUUAUUCAGAUGUUUUUUUAAGAAACAGGGGGACAAACUUUUGAGAUGCUUAAAAAGGGAGUCCAGUAGUCAAGAUGCUACCACCUAGACCUGAGCAAAUCUCGGGUCGGGUUAGCAAAAAGGUUGGUUUCUUUCGGACCUAAAAUCUCCGCCCAAGCCCGUCCAUUAACUCUAUCGGGCCAAGCCUAAUUCGAGCUGAGCUCGGGCUGGGCUGUCCAUCAUUUUCUUGUGUAAAUUUAAUUCAUUUUAUUAUUCAGGUCGGACUUGAGCCCGCCCAUUUUUUCCGGGGUCGUGAAAAUUAACGACACGACAGCCCUAAAUGAGUGUCAGGCCAGGCUUAGCCUGCCGGGCUUGGACCACCGGGCUUGGGCCAGACCGUCGGACCGGGCUGAGGCGGACCUAUUUUGCUCAGGUCUACUGCCACCCAAUUACUAUUUCAAAAUUUAAGCUGCAAAAAAGUGAUGGGAGUCCCCAGGCAAUCUUUGUCUCAACAUGAUGCUGAUAAUAAUCAUUCUGCAGACUGCACUAGUUGGUGCUUACUCAUUCAUUUAAGCCAGCUUAGACCAGGACAUUCUUAUCCUAAUAUAGCUAAGCAGGAUGUGACCUCCACAAUGUGUUCUCGUUGCCAAAGCAGUGUGGACUGGAGGCUAAUCAUAUCAUGCAUGAGAAGUUAUGAUUAAGCUGCCCUUGUUCCUGUUUAAUAGUAACUUAGCUAAUGAUUGAUAUUAGAUGCCAGGGUAUUUCUGGACCUACUGUCGCUAUCAGGUUUGCUGGCCGGUAUUGCACAGGCUACACAAGUUAUCUGCUCUCUGCAAUAAGCUGCUUUUAUUGUCGGUACUGCAAAAUAGGAAGCAAUCAUACAAAAAGGAUACGGUGAUUUCAGUUCAAGGACUGAAAUAAUUAGCGAUAUUUGAUUAUAUUUGUUGAAUGAACAGUUAACUUCUUCAGCCAUGUAGGUGUGCAUCUGGUAUUGCCGCUAAAUUUGUUGUUAAACAUUUACGAUUGUGAUGAAGUUGUGAACAUGAUUGGAUAGCACAUCUGUUCCGUCAUUUCGUCCAGCGGGUCGAUGGGAUGUGUGUCAUGAUAAUUGCGUGGAAACAGGAAGGUUAGGCUGGAUGCAAUCAGAAAAGAAAGGCUGCAUGGCCAGCUUUGGCCUACCAACCUGCUUUCUCUUAAAAAAGGGUCAAGCUGAUCAUACCACAAAACAGCUGCCCUGCCCCUUUCUGGUGCAGAUAACAUGUAACCUGCCACUUUAGGCAUACUAGCAUAUACUGCAAAGAGAAUAUUGAGCAGGAAAUGCUGGAAUUAAGUAAUCCGAUUAUUGGUAGCAUGCAUUCAGGCAUCUAUUCCAAACUCGUGGUACGACGCCUGAAUACUCCGCGAGUGUGACCGCUGAGCUUGAGCAGGAAAAAGAGACAGAGAGCCUGGAACUUGAGGAAUUUGGGAGCAUGGUGCCGUGUGGAAAGGAACUGAACUGGGAUUGGGAAAUCAUUUGAUGGAUGGGAGCAUUGGCAGGCAUGGCAUGGCAUGGAAUCGUGGCGAUCACAGAUUGAAGCCCUGACGCCUGCCUGUCCAUGCUGCUGUGAGUGACUCAAGCGGGGGCGAGAAAUCAGUUGGUGGGCUGCUGUCUGCUUCGGAGAGCGAUGGGCGGUCCAGCCUACCAAAUCAAUUGUAGGCCACCACAGGCCCAAAUGUCUUUAACAUAUAAAGGGCCCAAGUUCGUCUUGCAAGUAGAGGCUUAGGCUAAUGGGCCAAGUGAAGUCUGAUGGUGAAGCCACUGACUGACUGACAAGAGACAUGGAUUGUCCUCUCAAAAAAAGAAAAAAGAAAAAGAAAAAGAGAGACAUGGAUUAACCUUUAGGAUGCACCACCUUCUCCGGCCUAAUAACCCAGCAUAUAUAUUUUUUUACAUGGCUAUACUUCGCCAAAUAAUCAGACACACCAACUCUUCACUAACAUCUCUUCUGAAAUUUGUGUCGUGCUAAGCCAAUUCUUGAGAACAGCGUGCUUAAUUUGCUCCAAAUAAUAUUGUACAAUACUUGAUGUGUACUAGUCUACAAAGCGCCUCCCCACCUAGUGUUGAUCAUAAAGGCCUACGCCCGGCUCCACAGAGCUUUGACACGAGAGCGAAGAAGCAAGCUACUGAUAGUGGCCGGCUACUAGCUAGAUAGAGCCUAGAGGACAUUGCAACGGCUGCAAUGGCUUGUUGCGUAUAAAGAAAAGCGUGCAGAUUUUAUCGGAUUUGGUGCCCGACAGUCCAUCAGGGGGUUACCCACGUGGUAGAUUUAUAGGCGGGGGAUCGUAAGACGAAGAACUCGAAUGGUAACACAGGGGUGCAAGGUUUAGACAGUUUCGGGUCUUCGGAGAGUAAUACCCUACGUCCUGUGUUCUGGUGGAUUGUAUUGCUGGUAUGGGAUGCGAGGGUUAAUGUGCGUUACUCUCGGGGGGCGUCCCUAACCGCCUUAUAUAGGUUGACGACCUAGGGUUACAAUCGGAUAGGAUCUAAUCCUACCCGGUUGUUACAUGGAAAGCAAUCUAAGUCGAUUUACAACAAAUAUCCCGUGAUAUCCGGGCAGAAUCGUUCACUCGGACUCCGGACUUGUGCUCCACGUAGCUUCAUGCCUUGGCCCGCAUGGUGUGGUCAGACGGAUCCACCUAUCAGGGCCGACCAGUAUCUUGGUCGGUGGGGACUCGUGGGUACCCUUAUCCCUCAAGACCCCGAGCAAUAUGGAGUCGAACAGGAGCUUGACGGAUGUGCAACGAAGCUUAUAAUUAACUCAGUUGAAGUUGCGGUUUCAUCAUAGUGACUGAGAGGCUGCGCAGUGCUCAAAAACGAAGAAAGAAAUUGUAUCUUGAGCAAGUGUAGAACUGAGUGCGCGUGGCGCAGGCGACUGCCGAGCUAGAGGAUGGUGGGCAUCCUAUGGGUCGAAGGGAAGCACAUGGAAGGCGUCGCAAGACGCACUCCAUUAAAGUAGCCCCGAGCAUUGAAGCAAUUAAAAUACACCUAUUUAAAACACACCUAAGGAGGCGGUGUACCUUAGGCGAGCACUGAUUUGGCGUGUCCCUUGGGGAUGGUGGCCCAUUGGAUCGGAUUGUCAAACCUUGAACAGUAAAAUCAAAGUUGUCAAUUAUAUGCGAACAUAACAUAUGCUGGUAUAUAAUUCUAUAUAAUGCACAUGCAACCUAGUGCAGUGAUGGAGUGGGUAUACGUGAACAUCAUUUCAGUUGGAUGACAAACAUAUAUAAACUAAUAUUACUAUUUCUGACGUACCUACAGGCUACUUUUGGCACCUCCCGCGUUGCUCAGUGUAUCGAUUCCGAUUUUUGACCUGCUCGGUCCUAAAUUAUAACCUUUUAAAAUAUAGAUAUAAAAAAAUUAAAAUGACAUAUAAUUUGGAACAAGAAGAUACCAUCAAAGAUUAUUUCAUUUAUUAUUAACCGAGCGUGCUUAGUAAAGUCAUAUAAAAUAAUCUUUUUCAUGAAGAAUAGAAAAAUUAAAGGGGCCUCCAGUCGCGUGCUCCACGAGAGGUGAGAUAACGCCAAUCGCAUUCGAUUGUCCCGUGCGUGCUCGAUCGGAAUCGGAUCGGAGUCACUCCGCGAGCGCCAAACACCCCCAUCCCUUUUGAAAUUUAAUUUGCAUUCUCUAACUCUUGAGGAAAGCGUGCUUAAUUUGCUCCAUAACCGUAUUAUAUGGCAUCUUUAGGUACUAGCAGUAACCUUGGGCACUAGCAUGCAAAGCUCCUCCAAUCAGACCUCGAGGCUGGAUGCAAUCAGAAAAGAAAGGCUGCACGACCAGCUUUGGCCUACUGAAUGAAGAGGAAACAUGCAGGAGCAACCAACCUACUUUUAUCUUAAAAAGUGUUAGGCUUAGUCCCACAUCCCAAAUUGAUGGGACAGCUCUCACCCAUCAAGUUAGUCUUUUGGGCUGAGUUAGAUCCAAUGUCUUGUUGUUGUGGGCUCUGGUGGUCCUAGUCCUGGUGGAGUGACAGCCCGUGGGUAUAGCGAGCUGGGUUAGAAAUUCACCGUGGACUCCAACAAGAACCGAAGGUCGGAAAACCUGGAAUAUCUCCGGGGUUCACAUGGUGACGGGGAGCCCAACUCGUGGGUAUAGAGAGCUGGGCCAGAAAUUCACUGUGGACUCCAACAAGAACCGAAGGUCGGAAAACCUGAAAUAUCUCCGGGUUCACAUGGUGACGGGGAGCCCAACUCGAGGUCUAGGAUAACAUUUUCUGGGAGAUCACAUGAGUUGUAUACAAUGGAGGCAGAGGUCAGGAGUAUUUCGAGUUCUGUUGUAUAUCCACUGAACUUUAUAUUCCACAAAUGGACAAGUCUGGCUUACACGUGCGGGCAUGGUGCUCGGAGAUAGAAGAACAUGAUAGACAAUGAUUGUAAUUUUUCGCCUGAUUUGCGCAUCAAUCAACACGUAACUGCCGCCCGAGAUAAAAAAAAAAUCAACUAACUGAUACUUUGAAUCUACAAUGCAUGUGGAUAUACAGUACGUAAUUUACGAUCUAUAUAGAGCGCAACUGAUUCUACUUUGUUCUACAGUAGUGCAAUAUAAUGCCAAGAACAGGCCAUAUCGACCAAAUUAACUUUUGUCCCAAAGCUCCUCCUGGAUGCAGCUACUAUACCUACCACUAAUCCUCCAAAACGUACACAUCGAUCUUGUAUAUGGUACUUGAGGUCCUAGCUUGCAAAUAAAGCCGCCUCUCAAUCAAUAAAGCCCCACUCCGGCAGACACGGGUGAAGUGAAGCAAUAGUAAACCCAAGCUGAAGGUCUUUUUUAUGGGGGCUCCUCCACUGUAUGGAGUCCCGUGCUACACGAUAACGUACACGAGGAGAGAGAGAGAGAACAAUAAUCGCGCGUUCGUGCAUACCGAUCGGAUCGAAUAACAUUCGCGUCUGUUUCUGGUGCUCUGGCAGAGAACAAUGCUGUCUUUUAUAUAGUAUAUAUGCUCUAACUCUUGAAUACGUGUAGCACCGAGUAAUUUUCUCUAAAGACAUAUUGUAUGGUAGUUUAGGGUGUGUUUGGUUGGGCUGUGACUUUUGUAAAAGCUGCUGUGAGCUGUGGAAAAGCAGCUGUGAGAAAGUAACCGUGGGAAAAGCAGAAAACCGUUUGGUUAGAGCAGCUGUGAAAUUGUAGGCUGUGUAAGAAAUCUCUGUAAUGCCUCUAAAGGUCUGUGGGUGUGUUUAUAUGCAAAUUGCUUGUAACAAAAUAAUGUGUUAGCAGAAAACCGUUUGGUUAGAGCAGUUGUGAAAUUGUAGGUUGUGUAAGAAAUCUCUGUAAUGCCUCUAAAGGUCUGUGGGUGUGUUUAUAUGCAAAUUUCUUGUAACAAAUUAAUGUGUUCACUAAUUCGCAUGUAAAUGACUAUUUUAGAAAGGAAAAAAAAUAAAUUUUAUAUGUGAAGCUCAAAAUUUGAACUUCAAGCUGUUUAAGACUUAGGCAGAAUCUCAGUUAAAUAACUAAACUGAAACUGAAACUCAAGUGUUCAGUUCAUGAUUGGAUUUUCAGAGCUCUUGAUCUCUGAAACAGUGGAUCCUUUGAACAAAGUUCUUAUCUAUCAUUUAUAAACAUAUGUUUCGUCUACACUUUUGUUUAUUGGUGCUUGAAGAAAUCGUGUUUAUUUUACACAAUUUUUACUUGAGAAAUAGGACAUGUUUUUGCAUACUGAAGCUCAAACUUACGGUAGUAAGAAACGGCGGCAGCAUCGCUGCUCGCCACCGGACCACCGCAGUAAUUAUCUUAGCGCUGCCACGCGUCGUCGAGCAGCAACGACAGAGCAACCAGGCAUGUAAGAGCUAGUAGAAGGGAUCACGAUGAAGCUCCACAUAUUUAUAGCGCCGCCGCCGUCGUCCUCUCAAGCUCCUCUGUUUCCCGUCAGUACCGCCCGCCACACCUCGCCACCAAAUUCACUGCCGUCAAGCCAUCUCCACCAAAUUCCUCUCAACCAUCGUGCCGUGACACCCUCCCAAGCGACCCCAACAACUCCUUGCCCGACGAAAUCAGCCAUAGUGCUGCCAUAAUAUCUCCCCUAUUCCGCUGCCGCCAUCAACACCCUAAGGUGAGAACCCCUUUCCCGAUCCUCUCCGCUAAGGGUAGCUGCAAGAAUGAGUUCGCCAGAGUUCAUGGAUGCUCGCGCGUGCGCCCGUUGGAGCAGUUCCUGGCUAGGGUGGCCGAAAUGCCCAACCCUAGCCAGAGCGCGCCACGGCCAUGGCCGCCGAUGGGGGUGAGCUCGUUUGAACCAUGUGCUGAGGAUGAGAGUCACAGGGAAAGAUGUGCAUGCUCGCAUAGAUGCUCUAGGGGUAGUUGUUGUCCAGGUUUUGGCCGCAGUUUCGCCGGAGUAGCCGCGCCACCGCCGUGCGCGUGGCGUUGCCGCCACCGCGUCCGCUAGCAACAUGAAGUCGCUGUCCCGCGCCAAUAAUACCACCAGUGGAUGUGGUCGGCGACCGGGGGUGGUGGGUAGCGGGUGGUGGGAUUGCGCGUGGGGGACAAAUAGAACGGGGGAGGAAAAACGAACCGGUACCCGUGGCACGUGGUUAAUUUUUUACCUAAAAGCACUUGAAAGCAGGGGGAAAUGUGCUACUAGAGCAAAAGCAGCUUUUGAGCAAAAGCAGCUUUUGAGCAAAAGCACCUAUAUCUUUUAGACUUUUUGGUUAGUUUUUGGACCCUUUGGUACCAGCUUCCAAAGCUCCUACAUGCCUAACCUUCAAAAGGCCAUACGCCUCGGCUCCAGAGAGUUCUUAGUAGUCACGAGUGAAGUGAGAGACCAGUAGACCACCUGCAGGCUGCAGCGGCAAUGGCUCGCCUCGCCGGCCUUGCUGCCCUUCUUCUCCUACUCCACCUUGCCUCUGCCGCCUCUGCAAGUAGUAACGUCCUUCUUGGACGAAAGGGCAGCAGCGUCGCCGCUGGGCAGUCGGCCGCAGCGGAGGAGGAGGAGAAGGCGGCAGCGUCGAGGUUCGCCGUCAUCUUCGACGCCGGGAGCACGGGGAGCCGGGUGCACGUCUUCAAGUUCGACAGCAAGCUCGACCUCGUCCCGAUAGGCGACGACAUCGAGUUCUUCGCCAAGGUAUAUAUACGUUCUCACUUACUACUACUCCUGCAGUCCUGCUUCAGCUUGAUGAGCUUCAGAAACAAAAUAAGCUCAAACAAGUGAAUAACAAUUCAUCGGUUUUUUUUGUUUCCCACGAACAAUGCAUCAGAGAAUUGCUGAAUUGGUAUCAGCACGCGUAGUAGUAGCCCAGUAAAAGCUUCCAACUGAUUGGUUGGGGACCUUAUGCUGCAUGUCAGCAUGUGGGUACAUGCAUGCAUGGCGGGCUCCCUGAUCGAGCAUGUGACCUACUGGGUCCUAUAUGGACCAACUCUAUCUCAAAAGCUGGCCCUCAAAUUUGGAUGGAUGCUGGUGUACACUUUGCCAACAUAAAUUAAAAUAAAUGGAAAAAAAAUUGAGCCCAACAUUUUUUCACCUGUCCUUUCUAUGUGUAUAGCAAAAUUACCGACUGGGUUAUUAUUGAUAAACAACUAUAUAUGUAAGCAUGUUCGUAAUUUGUUGCUCCAGAUAAAGCCCGGGCUGAGCUCAUAUGCUGGGCGACCUCAAGAAGCUGCAAGCUCCAUACUCCCCCUCCUUGAGCAGGCUAAGAAGAUUGUCCCUACCAGCCUUCAGAAAUACACUCCGCUUAAACUUGGGGUAAUUUUUUCAGUAUCUAAUAAGUUUUUGAGUAAAAUAAAGUCACGGUAUGGCUCCUCCAUAUAGAUCUGUAAUUAUUCACGUUUUCAUGCCUCUCCUCUAGCAGUGAGUAAAGCUAAAUAUCUUAAACACGUCCUACUACUUAAAAAGUGGUCUGGUUUCAUCUCAAACCGAGGUGUUUCUGUCAAAAUUGCAGGCAACGGCUGGUCUAAGAUUAAUUGGAGAUAAGAAAGCAGAGGAGAUUCUUGAAGCGGUAGAUUUCCAUCUUACUAGCCAAAUUACUAUGUCUUAUGUGCAAUCUAGUCAUCUACUCCCUCCGUCCCAAAUUACUAUUCGUUUUGGCUUUUCUAGAUAUAUACAUAGCUUUUGCUAACUUAGAUAUAUGUAUGUCUAGGUACAUAGUAAAAAUUAUGUAUUUAGAAAAGCUAAAACGAAUAGUAAUUUGGGACGGAGGGAGUAGAUACAAAGUAUGUUUCCUUAAUUGUCUCUUAAUGCAGGUCCAGGAUCUUGUCCACACCAAGAGCAAAUUUCAGUACAAUCCCAAAUGGAUCACUGUUCUCGAGGGAACUCAAGAAGGAUCUUACCUAUGGGUAUGUGCAUCCCAUACUUGAUGGUAUCUCCUAUACUUAGUUUUGCAAACUAUAUAUGAUGAAUGUGGCAUGUUGUUGUAGGUUGCUCUGAAUUAUCUGUUAGGAAAGUUAGGAGGGGACUACUCUAAGACAGUUGGUGUGAUUGAUUUGGGGGGUGGAUCAGUGCAAAUGGCCUAUGCCAUUUCUACAAAUGCUGCUGCAAAUGCCCCAGCUGUGCCUGAUGGGAAGGAUCCAUACAUUACAAAGGAGUACCUCAAGGGGAAGGAUUAUAACCUCUAUGUUCACAGGUUAAUCAAUCAACAUUUCAAUAAAAACUUGCUUACAUUGCAAUUACUUCCUUUUUCAAUACAUUUUCAGUACAAAAUCAUUAAACCAUUAUGAAAGUUUGUUACGAGAUUCUCUCUAUCAAAUCAUGAAUUAACCAUAUAAAUCUUCCUUGACGUUCACCUCUGCAGUUACUUGUACUAUGGCACUUUUGCUUCACGAGUAGAGAUCCUGAAGGCAAAGAAUGGGCCAUUUAGCCGCUGCGUAUUGCGUGGGUUUAGUGGUAUGCUGGCAUGCAUAAUCAGCUUUGUCCUUGUUCAUUAAUCCGUUGUUUUAACUAGCAUACAUAUCAAUGCUCAAUCAUGAAAUCACUAUAAUUCAUCAAGGUAAUUACACCUACAAUGGGAAGGAAUAUGAUGCAACAGCCUCACCUGAAGGCGCAGUGUAUGAUAAGUGCAGAGAAGAGAUAAUCAAGGCACUAAACUUGAGCGCACCAUGUGAAACUAAGAACUGCAGCUUUAACGGCGUGUGGAACGGAGGCGGUGGAGCUGGCCAGGACAAUCUCUAUGUUGCAUCUUUCUUCUUUGACAAGGCAACCCAGGUAUCAUUUUAUAUUAGCAAUUGUUCUGCAUAUAAAAUUGCACAACUCAUUUGUUCAAUCUAAGAAAAAAAUAUGUUGAAAAUGGAUUAUGAAGCCUAAUCCAAUGAUUUGCUUGGAGCAUGUCACAGUAUGGUUUCAUCGAGAGUGAGGCACCCAGUGCAAAGUCCACCCCCGCGGCAUUCAAAGUAGCUGCAGAGAAGGUUUGUUCGUUGAGCGUCAAAGAAGUCAAAGCUGCAUAUCCUAAUGCCUUUGAUCUGCCAUAUGCGUGCAUGGAUCUUCUCUACCAAUACACGUUGCUCGUAGAUGGCUUCGGUAAGUGCAACAUGCAUGUGUUACAUGUAUAUCUAGAAAAUUUCCUUGUUGGACAACAUUCAGGUGUUCAUGAAUUGAACAAACCAAAUGUGGUUUAUGCAGGUUUGGAUCCAACUAAGGAGAUUACUCUGAUUAAUAGAGUGAAGUAUGGAGAGUACUAUAUUGAGGCUGCUUGGCCUCUGGGUACUGCUAUUGAAGCUGUUGCGCCCAAGAAGAUGACCCUGCAGGAUGCAUGAUUUAGUAGUCUCUUUCCGGGUCUAUACUCUUCCUGGGCAUGUGUUGUCUACGUACAACAUGGUCGCAUCUUUGCUGAUAUACAUGGAUUUGGCAUUGAUCCUAUGUAAUAAUCUCUGGUUAAAACCACUUUUGUGGUGUACUAUGUAUUUCUGAAAUUUUAGUCGAGCUGACGAGGCGACACUUUUAUCAGAGGCAGUCCACUAAUUCAGCAGCUGGGCCUAAUCUUCUUUUAUUUCCCCGAGCUUACCUGACAGCCCAAUGUCAAGUUGCAGCCCACUAUCCAUUUCCAAAACCUCGUGAUGAAUUAAGAUAUCAGCUAUGCCAACGAGUAGUCGUUGCUGUCCAAAUUCAUUUGUAGUACAUAAAAACACAGAAGAAAAGGACUUGUUAUAGAAAAGAAGUAAGCAUGUUUCGCUCUUCAUUUACUGAUCAGGAUCUUGUAAUAAGUCCAUGGACAGCUAAUAAGCAUAUAUACUAGGCGGACACGGUAGAUAUACAGGCACAGGCAAUUUAAUUAUAUGCAUGAUUGCAGCUUGCGUUCGUAGUUGCUAGCUGCAGUGAGCUACAACAUUUCAGCAGUGUUGUUUCUGACAGUGAAAAAAAGGCCAUACGACUUUGCAUGCAUGUGUCGUGACCUGUGAGUGAUGUUUGUAUGAUAUAUACAGCAUUGUAAUUAAGAAAGUCUAACUGGUUGAUCUAAUCAGUUUGCAGAUGAUAUACAAACUAUAGAAAGUGCAUGCUGAAAUCUGGAGGGAAAGCUCAUUAUCUGGGGUCAAUGUUGUGACUUUUCAUGCCAGCUAAACCCUUAUAUACAAAGACUAUAAGUCGAUGAAGCAGGUGUUUCAGUCAAGAAAAAGAAAACUAUUCGCUUCUUUCUAGGUUCCUAAUAAUGAGACUAGCUAGUUUAGCAGGUGUUGUGUUCAAGGCACGCACGCACACGCGUGUGGAUGCAUGGACCAUGCUCCAUGCAUACAUCAGCACAAUACAAUUAGGUGGCCUGAAGACUGAAAAAGUCUGAACUGAAGGAAGAAAGGCAGGCUGCAGAGAGGAACUGAACAAGUCGUCAGGCAUCUUCGCUUGGGCUGAUGGAAAAGUAAAUAUGAUUGCAUUUUGGGCCGCACCGAGAUGGAUGAAGUGCGGCCUUCAUCACUCUGAAUAUAUACAAACGAGCAGGCCUUCUGACUUUUGCAAAAUGCGUCUCGCAAUCGCAAGAAGGUCCAAAUUAGUUUUGGUCAGAAGGCCACACACAGCUAGCUAGCCAGAGAGGGUCGAGAUCGAUGCUGCCGCGUUCAGAACUGCAAGCAGGUAUAGUAUUUGCCUGUGGGAGCAGGCAGCUAUGGAAACCAUCGAAUACUACCUAUACCGACGACCUCGCUCUCUCAUCCAACCCUGCAUGCUGCUCCUCCCACACGUAGUAGGUUCCAACAGCAACAACAUUUGACUUUUUAAGGUAUAAUAAUAAACUAGUAGCUAGGUGGCAAGUAGGUGGUAGGUGGCCGGCCGGCCUGCUGAUGAAACUGAUGGAUUGUGGAUAAGAAGACCCUGGUUGUGUACAGAUUACGCACGUGCAGCUACGUACAUAGCUUCGGCUUACCUUACUGCGUGUUUGAACAGCCCAUAGUGUCCAGGUAUCUGCUGAUCACCUGCUGUUUUACUACCUCCGUUCUUACAUAGAUGACACCGUUGACUUUUUUCAUUCGUUUGACUAUUCGUCUUUUCUACAAAUAUUUUUACAAAUAGAUAAAUUUACAAUAGACAUAAUGAUAUAUAUUUUACUUUAGUUAACUAACUUGUUCAAUAGAUAUUGGUGGUCAAAGUUGGAGUAAAAAGUCAAUGGUGUCAUCUAUUUAAGAACCGAGGGAGUACAUUGUAUGCAAAGGUACGCACAACACACUCUCGCCAACGCCUUUGUUAAUUAUUUGCACAUGUGUCCCACCAUUCAUGUGCUCAAAAGGAGGAGGAAAAAUGCAUUGCUGAAAAGAAGAAUAAAAUUUCUCAUACAAUUUCUUUGUGAAGUCUAGGCUCAACAAAAAAAAAACAUUAUAGACAAAUAUGUUGGCAAAAUAAAAUACAACUCUGGACAUCAAAGUCAAUCACCUUUGCCAACUCUUGCUAGCUAUUGGAACCAUUCAAAGCACAAUUUCAACCUACAAAGAGGCACAAAUAUAUGGUCCUCUCUUGAUUUUUUCCCCCGGGGACCAGUAGUACAAACAAGCAUAAAAUAUCAAAACCAAAAACGAAUUUAAAAUUUGAGUGGGCGCAUGGUUUCCACGAGGUGGGCCCCACCCUAUGGAUCAACCUCACGAGUAGAGCAAAGGACCAGUCAAAAGCCACGAGCUCGCCGCCCGCGAUGCCAUGCCAGUCCGUCACAUAUAAUUGGCGUCAAGGGCAGGUCGACACGUGAUGCGGUAGACGUCGUCGUCUUCAUCCGUUCAAAGCCAUUCUUUUGCUUUCGUUAUCCUCGUUCUUCCCCCCUUGCACACGGGUGCCUUGCGUGGAUCCACGCCGAUAAGUACGCGCCCAGGGGCAAAUUAGUCAUCUGCAGGCACUCACUCCAUUAGCUAAAGCUCGACAAACUACUCCCCCGCCCAAUUGUUUUGUGUCUUUGACGCCGCAUACUCUGAAGAACGCAUUAGUUUAAAGUAAUUACAGUACUUGAUACUGAUUAACUAGGUGUGAAAAGAGUGCAGUCCCCCGUGCCAGGCUCUCUCGAUCGUGCCCCUGUGUACGUCAUCCUCAUCCACAGUCCACCAAUAAAACUGCACGCUCUCUCCAUCGAGGAAGAAGACAAGGGCAUGGCGUCUAUAAAACCGAGGCCCAGUCCCUCCAUCUCAAAAAUUUCAAGACUCAUGCUUGCCUUCUAAGCACGACUAGUUUGUUAGCUGAUAUCUCAUCAUCUCCUCCGAUCCUUCCUUUGAGCCUCUCUCUCUACAGUAGUCAACAUAAGCUCUGUGCUUAGUAGACUGCACACCAUUGUUUUAUCGCCAUGCCGAUCGCCAGCAGUAGACUGCCAAAUCUUCCAGCUGGGUUCCGGUUCCACCCCACAGAUGAGGAGCUCAUCGUCCACUACCUCAUGAACCAAGCUUCCUCCCUCCCAUGCCCUGUCCCCAUCAUCGCCGAGGUCAACAUCUACCAGUGCAACCCGUGGGAUCUUCCUGGUAGUUUAAUUACACUAGCUGAAUUAUAUUCUGACAGCAGCAACCCAAUCAUAGUCUAUACUAAUAAAGUUCAGUUUCUGAACCUAACAAAAUUUUCCCCAUAUAUGUUUGCCUUUCGUUUGUUUUCAGCCAAAGCUUUGUUUGGAGAGAACGAGUGGUACUUCUUCAGCCCGAGGGAUCGCAAGUACCCGAAUGGCGCCCGCCCCAACCGUGCCGCCGGAUCAGGCUACUGGAAGGCCACCGGCACCGACAAGGCCAUCCUGUCGACUCCGACGAGCGAGAACAUCGGAGUGAAGAAGGCCCUUGUGUUCUAUGGGGGUAAGCCUCCCAAGGGCACCAAGACAGACUGGAUCAUGCACGAGUACCGCCUCACAGGAGCCAACAAGACCACGAAACGUAGAGGAUCAUCCAUGAGGGUGAGAUUAUUAGUUUCCGAAUUGUUUUUUUUCCGGUUGCUUGCACGGUUGCGCUAGGCAACUAGCUGACCUAUGCAAAUCUUCUGAAUUUUAAUUUGUUUUUGUCUGUUUCAGUUGGACGACUGGGUCCUCUGCAGGAUCUACAAGAAGAGCAACAAUUUCCAGUUCAGUGAUCCGGACCAGGAGGGCUCGACCGUGGAGGAAGAAUCCUUGAACAACAACAUGAACAGCACAAGUGCAGCCUCGCCCAAGUCUGACGCCAAUGAUCAUAAUGAUGAUCAGUUCCAAUUCCAACCGACGACCAUGAGCAUGAGCAAGUCAUACUCGAUCACCGAUCUCCUCAACACCAUCGACUACUCGGCGCUCUCGCAGCUCCUCGAUGCCCCAGCUGCAGCUGAGCCACCGCUAAUCUACCCAACAACAACACAAACACACCAAUCACUUAACUAUAACAACAACGUGAUGAACAAUAACAGCCACUUCAAUCUGCCACAAGCAGCAGACGCAUGUCCAGAUUACGUUGCGCCUAAUAACUGCAACGGUCUGAAGAGGAAGCGAGUGAUGACCAUGGACGGUGCUGAAUCCUCCUUCGAUGAUGGCAGCAGAAAAUUACUGAAGCUGCUGCCAAGUGAUUCAAGGAGCAGCGGCCACAGCCAUUUUGUUGGCAGCACGAGCAGCUACUGCAACCAGCAGCUUGUGGACACGAGUGGCUUUCAGUGCAGCAGCCUGCUGAGCUAUCCAUUCAUCGAGAUGCAGUAGCGUCGAUCUGUGUGCUACUAUUGCAACCAGCGAGAUCUUGGUGUGAAUUCAUACCACGGAAACUUCACUGGGUCAAACAAACAGAGCUGAUGGAAAAAUUCAUACUGGAUUGUUCCUGCUUGUGACCGGAAAAAUUCAAAAUUGCUCAAGCAUUUCGUUUUCAUUUUCAUUUAAAAGGUUGUAAAUUAGGGCCAGGUGUACGUACUACUGAAAGUCACGUGUGGAUGGGAUCAAUGAAGAAGCUAAGGAUGACCACGUUUCUUGUACUGUGUGUAUUUGGCAUGUGCUGUUGUUGGUGUCCUUAUCCAACUGGAGAGGGUUGGAUCACUCCACUUGUUGCUCUAUUGGAAUAUACCUUAGCUGCUUCCUGUUCCUGCUGAUGCCAUUGUAGCUACGGAUGGAUCAGAGUGCGUACACCAUACGUAGACCGGCACGCACGUCCUUGUGCCGUUGAUGAUGCUGAACGCGCGCGUGCAUGCUAGCUUUGGUGGACCAAUGCAAUGGCAAAACGUCAGCAGCGGAGCAAGUGAUAUUCUAAUGGCCGCAGGACACCGGAAAGACAACGACGGCGGCGGCGCACGUUGUUCGAUCGAAUACCACUUCGGUUAUUAAUUAUAAGCAUGCAUGCACGGUUGGUGAUGGUCCACAUAUGACAUGCUCCAUCAGCAGUUAGAUAAGCCCUGUGUUGAUUAAUCCUACCCCAUUUGGUUAACAAAGUCUCCUCAUUGGAGACAGCCAUUUUCAUUAUGCUAGUAGCUUCCAGCUAGCUCUCUUUCACACGAUUGAUGAUUGUAAACAUUACCUGCAGGACAAGAAGAUAAUGCAAACAAUGCAGCUAUAACUUUUGGAGAUGGUCUAACUCUGCAAAUGAAACUAAUCCAUGCUUAGAAGCAAUGACGAAGAAAUUAAACUAGUUGCAGCAGCAUGAGGUCACAUGUUAAAAAGAGAGUCUGGGGAGGAUAGACUAAAAGAGAGAGGUGAUGGCCGAUGAUAGUAGAUAAGACAGGAGGGCUAUUAAGGUCCAAAUCCGGUUGCUGAAGUCAGGCCCUAAGACAUAUCGCUCUAAUAAGCAUGCUGAUGACAGCUUUAUUUGCUAAUUGAACCUUUUUUGGAGCUUACUAGGAUCUUUGAAUUGCACCUGCUAUAUGUAUGUAAUCAAAAGGCUAAAUACUAGCUUAUCCACUAUGACAUGCAGGGGCGGUUGAUUCCUUUUCUAGAAUGAGCUAAGGCACUAGCCACUAAUAAUUGGUUGCUUAAAGCGAUAUGAACUGACAUCAGUGUUCUGAUCCUGAAUCAGCUUGGAGUAAUCAUGAUGUUUGGUACUGGUAUAUCCUUACAGCUUCGCCUUGAUGAACCAUAAACUGUUAGUUUGGAUGGUAACCCGGGCCAAAAUUUCAUAUGGGCCAUGAAGCCCAUGACGUGCAGUUCCAGGCCACAAAUAGGCUGUUUGGGCCGAAAGUUUAUUUUCCCUCUCCUAAUUUUUUGCAGGAAACUUAUAUGGCUUCCGGAAGUUUUUUUUCUUAUCCAACUUCCACUGUUUGAGAUUCGUGCGCCCAAUAUUAUCCGUUGGAUGCCUCAACCACGCCCCCUCAACCCUAGCAUCUCUGUCCCCGUCGCUGCCCAUGGCACCGCUGCCGCCGCUUCGUGCUUGUCGCCGGCCCGCCGCCCACGCCACCGUUGGCCUCACGGCCGCCUCAUGCGAGCAUGCCGGCCUCGCUGCCGCGCCGCCGACCCCUCGCACGGUGUUGUCGCCGCCUCCCGCGGGUGCGCAGGCCUCGCUCGCCGCUGCCUCCCGCCAGCACGCCGACCUUUGCUGGCGCUGCGUCGUGUGCGGGUGUGGUUGGAGAAGUCCACCGGGAAGAAGGAAAAAAAUCACAAAAUGUUGAUUCUUUUCAAAAUGUUGAAUCCAGUUUAUCAAAAUGUUGAAGUAGUAGUAAAAAUAACAAAAUGUUGAUCUAUGUUUUAAAAAUGUUGAAUAUGUUAUUUUUGAACGUUGAUCCAUCUGUUACAAAAUGUUGAAAAUAGUUUGUUAAAAUGUUGACCUAAGGUUCUAAAUGGGCCUAAUGGGCUUUUAAAGAUACAUUGCUUAUCUAGCUAGCGGAAGGGACCCCCAAUUUUUUGGUACGUGAAGUCAGGAAAAAGUGUGCCAACUUUCGGCGAACUGUACGGCGGCGGAACCUGUCAUCAGUUCAUCACAAUACCAGCGGUCAGUGAGCCAGAUCAUCAUAUCAGCUGGACGGCGCGUGCUCUGCUCUGGAGGCAGCAUGCACGCACGUGCGCUAGUAGAGCACGGACAAUUGGAUGCCAGGCUCUGGAAUCCCAUCCCAUGCAUGCUGGCCAGAGACUCUGGCUGGCUGAGACGACCUCACCAAUGUCAAUUUGGAUUGGCCCAUGGCAUACAUGGUGGUGUGAAGGUGAACAGCCGUCAGACGACAAUUCAGGGAUCUGACCUUCAAAUGAUCGGAUCAACCUGUCAUUUUGUAUGCGACAGUCAUAUGUUUGUCAGCAGCUGCCAACUGAUUUCAUUUCCUCUCAGCUACAAAUUAAUCACAAUCACGUCUUCAGUACCGGAUCUUUACUACCGCUUGUGUAAUCGGUACUGGUUCAAAUAACCGGUACUAAAGGGGGUCCUUUAGUAUCGGUUGGGGAGACCAAUCGAUACUAAAUUGGCUGACACGUCGCGCGUGGCCGAGGCCAAUUCUUUUUUCGUUUUUGUUUCUUUUCUCAUUUUUAUUUCUGUUUCUUUAUUCUAUAUUAGUAUUUUGUAUUCGUUUCCUUUACGUAUACUAGUUCUAAUACGCAAUAUAUAUAUAAAGUUAUAUUUGAUCUAUAAUAUUACAUUUGAGAUAAUAUUAUACAUAGACAUAUUGUGCAUACACAUAUAUGAAUAAUAUUACAUUGCAUCAACUCUCCAAGUUCAAUAUUUUGGAUCAACUAUUGAACCCGAGUCCUGACAGUGAUGCAGAUUUGAUCCAUCAUUAUGGAACUCUCCCACUAGAUUUACUACCUCGUCCAGAAGAAACACACAGAGUUGUUCUUGAAUUGUCCUAAUUUUUUCUAUCUCAAGGAGUUCUUCCUUCAUGUGCAUAAUCUAUGUCAUUAGCAAAAGUUAUUAUAUUAUAUCAAUGGAUCUGCACAAUUAGAACUAAUUUGUUGUUAAGAAAUUUGUAUACGUACUCUAAAUUCGUAGUCAGUUAUACGCUUGGGACAUACAAAGCCAUGGAUGAACUCACAUACGUAGUAUCCGCAUAAAUUAUUCCUCAGAUUCUGUCUCAAACACUAUAUAUAUGGCAAAAGAAGUUAUGAAGUAUUUGUUGUAUUCAAGGAAGUGACACGAGAUGUGCAAAUUCAAUACAUACUGGGAAUUCAGAGUGGAUAUGAAGUUGCUCCUUGAAUUCGCCUGAGUGAUGUUGACGGAAGCGAGCCCAUGCUCUGUUAAGCAUGUUUAUGAGGUCGGUGUAUUGAUUUCUUAGUCUCCUUAGAGAGUCCAGGAUAUAGACCAUGCUUCGAUCAACCACGAUAACAAGGCGUAUCCAUUGGAAGUUGUACAUAUAUGCAUAGUGAAAAACUAUUUAGUCUUAUUUGUAACUACUAGUUCGAAAAAUAAAAGAGAUGGGAAACAUACUCACUUGAAGUUGUACGCUCUUUCCCUAACUCAAAUUUCCAUUUACCAGCCCCAGGGUGCUUUGGGAUGUGAUCCUCCCCUCGAAGUUGAGUUGCGGUGAGAUUUGUAUCUUUGGCGAAUAGAAGCAGGUUCUUAUCAAACUCCGGAAGCAUAUGGAGCGGGGCAAUCGAUUGGUUGGAUUGGGUUCCGAGCUGUGGAAUACUUGACCCACUUUUCUUCUCCUUCUAAAAAGCCUUUGUUAUAGUGCAGUCGUAUUCAGAUAGCGGUGGUUUCUCUAGCUUUUUCUUUUUCUCCAACUCUAUGCAUCUAUUGAAAGCCCAAAAUUUAAUCUUAUCAAGUGGUGGAUCUUUUCUUCACGGGAGGCUUUGGUGCGAAGCGAGCUUUAACCUGAGCAUCCACUACUACGUCGAGUUCCGCAUCAGUCAUAUCAUAAGGUUUCUUGGGCUCUGGUUGUUUCUCCUUCGGUUUCUUCUGCUUCUUCUUUGUAGGCGCAGUAGGUGGAACUAAAGGCGUCUUGCUCAUAAUAGGGGGAGGUGGACUCAUGCUAGGAUCCUGUCAGCUGGUGCAGAGCGUGGACUCAUACUAGGAUCCCUGUCAGCUAGUGGAGAGGGUGCCCUAGCUAAUAUUUUAUAACAAUAAUUGACUACGGAAUUAAUGACUAAUAUUUAUACAUUUUGUAACAAUAAUUGACUACAAAAAGAUUACAUUACAAUUAAUAGGCAUUUAACAAUUUCUAGCACUAUUUAUAUAUUUUCUACCACUAUUCCACUAAUUUAUACCACUAUUUAUAUAUAGAUCAAAUUUACAAUAAAUGACUAAAAAAAUAGUAGGCAUCAUCAAAUCUAUAACAUUUUAUGCACAUUUUUAUAAUUUAUUGAACAAUUUUGUGAAUUUUGUAAUAGUAAAUGACAACAAAAAUAUUUACAACAAAACGUGGUCACUCACCAACAUUUUUCACCUAUUUCUAGAAAUUUCUAACAAUUACAGGAUUUUCUAAUAACAUGGAAUAAUCAAUGUUUUACAAUUUACAAUUAAUAGGUUUUCCAACAUUUUUCUAUAAUUCUAGCUAAUUCUAAAAAUAAUUCUUUAUUUUCUAGCUAAUUUCUAAUAAUUUUUCUACAAUUUCCACUCAUUUGAUAUGCUGCAGAAAUAAAAAAAGAAAAAAUUUGACGUCAGCCGGCCGCGGGCUUACGUGAGCAGCCGGAUGUUCGAGCCCGCGGCUAGCCUUCGUGCAUGAAGGCCGGAAGCGGAGUGUGGGAGGCGCCGGCCGGCGGCGUGUCAUGGAGAAGAGGGCUGCCAGCGCGUCGGGGAGAGGAGGGCAGGUGGCGCGUUGGGGAGCUCGAGAGAGGGCGCGUCGGCAGUGUCGUCAGGGAGAAGAGGGGGCUCCGGCGGAGUGGAGGCGUUGGCGUUGUCCGGGAGGAGGCCGGUGGCGCGUCGGGGGGGGGGGGGGCAGUGCCGUUGUCGAGGAAGGUAGAGCCGGGCUAGGAUUUGUCUUUGAUUUUAUAGAAAUCCGUUUCAAACCCUAAGCCUACCAUUUCUGUCGACCGCCGCCAUCCCAAGCUGCACCAACACCUCCGCUCUACCCCGCUCUUACCUCGCCGGCACCGUCCCCAUCUCCAGCCAGGCUCCUCCAACGCGCGCCUGCCUCAUUUUACAAACUCUGUGUGUAUCCCCUGUACCCCAAUCGCGAUCAAUCCUAACCAAUCUAACCACGUUAGCCCCACGGCCAUCCCCACCCAAGCAGCAAACCACCACCAGCACGACGAGCUAGCGGUGACCCCAUCGUUCAAUGUGCCCUUUGCUAGCUCCACCGCCAAAUCACCGACCUCCCCACCUAGUGCUCUAUAGGCUAUAGGACCUGAAAGCCACACAAAAAUCCCCCAGAUCCCAAAUCCAAUCCAAAAUCCUAACGCUUAACCUAACUGGAGUUCGUGGAGGUGUCCCGACGUCACCUACGACGGAGCAAAAGGAGUCCAGAGCACGAAUCACAUCAUCACCGAUGGCAAGGUGAGGAAUUCAAUGGGCCUGUUCGCUUCAGCUUAUAAGCCGGCUGAAAAGCUGAAACGACUGAUUUGUUGUGAGAGGAAAAUACUGUUGGGUGGCUGAUAAGCCGGCUGAAUAAGCUGAAGCGAACAGGCCGAAUACAUUUAUCAUCAGAAAUCAGCCGACCGGUAAAUAUAUGCGCGUUUUUUACAGCAAAGUUUAUUAUGUUUGUUAUGGAAAAUGUCAAGUGGCUUACCUCAGAAGCCUCCCGACAGUUAGUAGUCCCCUAGCUGUAAACAGCUGUCACUCACACCUCUGUAAAUAAAAAACAAAAAUAUGAAUGCCAAAAUAAAUUACAAUACUAUGCUUCUGAUGACACCUCUUAAUUCUGAUUAGAUGGCCACAUAGGAAAGUAAUCAAAACCGAGUGGAGACUGAAGACUUCCUUACUAGGCAAGCCAAAGGAGGCUUGGCUCUUCCAGAGGAAGAUGAAGUCUCACCUCUCACGCCACUAUAAAACUUGGCUUUUCCUCCUCUCUCUAUCUCCUUCCUAUUGAUUCCCCUACCUUUCUUGUGUUCACAAGCUUCCUCUAACAAGCUUAGCUUCUCUCUCUGCUUCGUUUUCCUCUGAGAUCCUGGUUUGUCUCCGGUUCUUACUGAAGCUGCAGUCCAUAGCGUUUGCAAUUCCAACAAGAGAUCGAUCAUGGUGGAGCGUAGUGUCAAAUCAGAGCAUGGAGGCGGCUUGUUUCUGCCUCCCGGGUUCAGGUUCCAUCCCACAGACGAGGAGGUCAUCACAAGCUAUCUCCUGGAGAAGUUCUUGAACCCUAGCUUUGACCCACAAGCCAUUGGGGAGGUGGACCUCAACAAGUGCGAGCCAUGGGAUCUCCCAAGUAAGUCUUCUACCUUUUUCGAUCCCUUUAAUUUUGUUCUUCAGUUGCACCACAUACAUGUAUAGUUGCUGAAAAUUAAGAUUAAUUUGAACUGAUUAUUAAUUGAUCGAUGUUUUCUCCCAUGUUGAUCGAUAAACAACAGGCAAGGCGAAGAUGGGGGAGAAGGAAUGGUUCUUCUUCUGCCACAAGGACAUGAAAUACCCGACGGGGAUGCGCACCAACCGCGCCACCAAGGAGGGCUACUGGAAGGCCACCGGCAAGGACAGGGAGAUCUUCAAGCCGGCUGCUGCUGCAGGUGCAGGCCGUGAGCUGGUGGGUAUGAAGAAGACGCUCGUGUUCUACAUGGGCAGGGCUCCAAGGGGAUCCAAGACCAACUGGGUGAUGCACGAGUUCCGCCUCGAGGGAAAGUCUAGGCACAACAACACCAAACUACGCUUCAAUCCUAAGGUAUAUACAUGGUCUACUUGAGUACGUACUUGCUUGUACAUGCUGAAAAAUAAUUUGCAAUUUUGCUUCAACUUAGCGUGUCAUGAAUUAAUUAGUUAAUAUUCGGUGAAAUGUUCAGGAUGAAUGGGUUGUGUGCAAGGUGCACCACAAGAAUGGGGAAGCCAAGAAGCCCGCCGAGGAGUACUCUGCCAGCACGCCCAACGUCAGCUCCGUGAUUUCAGAUGACGCCGGCGAAGGAGAUGACUUUCUAGACUCCAUGAUCAAUCCCAUGUACUUCAACAACGCCGGCAGCCUGCCCACCAGCACUACGACCGUCAACGCCGCGCCGCCGCAAAACGCGGACUACGCAAUUUCUUCUACCGCCGCGGGAGCUACGACGGGCACGACGAGUAGCUUCGUCAACCUUCCUAACUACGGCUUCAACGACACAACAAGCAUCAACAACCUGCACCAGGUCGCUCUGGCCAAUUCAGCAGCUCCAAGAAGCAGCUUCAGCUCCUCGUGGAACAUGCUUCACGCAGACCAUAAUCAGGCAAUGGGAAGCUACAACUUGCAUCACCAGGCAAUGGUGGCGAAAGCUCUAGGAGGAGUCAUCUCUCCAAAUUUCGCUGGUGGUUUACCGGAGUCGUCGGUGACAGGAAUUCUGCAGCAGAAUUCAGUGGGCAUGCCGCAGCAGAAGCUACCAGGGAACUACGGGGAAUUUUAUGCCAAUCAUCUUAAAAAGUAGUGCUGGUGCUGGUGCCAUUGGACCAGCUGCUAAGAAUUUAGGUGAUCAGAUAGUGCGCUACUAAAUGGAUACUUGUUUAGUGAUCGUUUUAGUAGUUUUUGUGGCAGUUUUGUUGGUUGCUUAAUUCAUUAAUUAGGUCGAAAACCUGAGAGAUCAUGCAUGAUAGCUGUUUGUUUUAGGUGCUGUGUAAAAAGGAUGGUGAUUUUGUUUGUUGGUGAGAAUUUGUUCCUUGUGUUUGGUGCUGAUAUUUUUAUGCAUCGGGACUUAAUUGGUUUCUACAGUUUUAAUGUCUUUUGUUAUUUAACCAAUGGAAGAACUUGCUUAUCUUUUGUGUACUACUGAAUCUCUAUAUAUUUGAAAACCUGCUGGUACUAAAUUUUUUUAGAAGGACAGGCAAAUUAAAAAGAUGGUACUUAAUUUGAGAUUGGUAGAUUAUGAAAGAAACUAAAGGCACGUCAGUUUGCCACUAGUAGUUAACUAAAGACGAAGGCUUGUAAUCUUUUUUGAAGUAAAUGGGCUUGUAAUCUUGUCGCCCAAGUCAGGAUGGGAGUGGCGACGACCCUCUCGAUGUUGAUGUACAGCUUGGUGCAAGCUAAGUCUGUCAGAGACGGCGGCCAAGCAGCAGGCACUGCACCGAUGGAUUUCAUCAGGAAAUCACGUGCCGCCAGGUCGGUACAGCAUGCAUUUUGGACGGCGGCGCAUGCAGUCCACAUGGCAUCGUGACGUCACUCUCCAUUAGCUUUAUUUUCAGAAAUGGAGGAGCAACUACGACGGAAAGCGCGUAUAGCUAAUAGAUACCUGCCAGCUGCUGCUGGCCAAUGCAUGCUCUCAACUGUUCAUGUGACUUGAGCAGUUGAUCCAUCCAUAUAUGCUUGCAUGAUCUGGAGUCCUGAACGAUCGAUCGUUUGUCUUCUGGGUAUGUAGCUGUAUGUGCUGAAAUUAUAACUGAAGUUUUCGUCCUACCAGCAUAUCUGGGCAACUUUUGUGCAACAAACUAGCCUGUGCAACUUAAUCCCAUAUCCAUAUAUUUUCACGUAGGAUCUUUGUGUACCUUCAGCUUUUGUAAGUACUCCGUGUGUGUGUGUCUCUCUCUCUCCAUUAUUGAUAAUUCCUGCUGCCAUGGUCUUUCUUACAAGUCAUGUUUUGCAGGCCACCGGCAUGGUUCCUCACAACCUAACAUGCGCUUAUCUGGCGUCCUGCGUAUGGCCAAAAAUGUCGUCGUCAGCACCGACCAUACGAAAAUCUAGAGCAUUGCAUGUUGCCUUGAACAAAACAAUUUUGCUUUCAUCUCUCGAUACACGUCAUUUUCAGAGCAGUACCAUAUCAAACCGGUAUCAAUCAAUCAUAGACAGCAAGCAAGCAUGGGACGAUGCAUCUCUCAACUGCUGCCGUGUGUGCUACGCAGUGUCAGUGUGUUGCGUAUUGAACAAGUGGCAGAAGCUUGGUAUGAGAUAUGAAUAUAUGAUAUAUAUGAGGAUGUUGGUCAACAAGAUAAACAAUAGCAAGGAAAAGAGCAUGCAAAUUAAAAAUGCUAACGAAAAAGGCCAGGAAAGACUUUUUCAUGCUUCAUCCCAGUGCUCCUUGUAGUACCCUUAGUUCGACGUAUUUUAUUUCCAGUUUUAAUGUUUCGUUUUCACCUAAUUUGCUAGCUAUGAGUCAUGCGCACGAUUACGUACCUAGCCCAGUAAAACAACGGUUAGCUAAUUUCCUCCUUUUUCGUAAUCAUCACUGAAAAAAAAUAAUAUCUGAUCUUUUUAGUUUGCUACAGAACAUAGUUGUACAACUUCCAUUUCCUGCCAUAUUUAAGAGGAAAAUGACAUAAGCAUCUUAUAUAUGCAGGUGCUUGACUCCAGCAUAAAGGACAAAUUGACCCCAGAAAAGACUCGAUCACUCGACUCGACCUAUUUUCAGAAGCGGAUCAUUGUUGGGUCAGGUGAUCACUUGCGAGAUAAGGUUGUACUGACAGUAACCUCACAAGUGAAAGCUACAAAAGUGGCUUUUAUUUUAUCUGUGUCCUACUCAGCCAAGUAGAAGACUGAAAUGGUCUAGUAGUACCUGUUGAUUCAUUACCAAGUAACGGAACAUGGGCCCCACACACGAUCCUGGACAGCAACUACAAAGAAAUUAAGCAAACAUCUUCAUCAGGGAUAAGGACCAAGCAGAUUAUCAAUGAGCCAGUGCACUGCACAUGCAUGAACAGAAACAACGCAUUGCAGUCUCACCAUAGGUGUUGACAGCAACAGACACAAUUCACAGUUUCAGUUGAGGCACAAGAUGUAAAGUAGACGCGACAUAUGUUGAAGUACAGUAACUUCGGAUCAAAUAAAUAACAAGAUCCCAUUUUAUUUGAUGCACAGUGCCAUCUUAUUGGUUACCUGAAUUUCAGGUUAUUCACAGAAAACACUGGAGGCAAUGCUAUGUCGGGUACGAUACAAGCCUCACACAUGUAUUUGUUUGCAAAUAGCUCAGCUAGAUCUCCGUAGGCAUGACAAGUAAUAUUACACCAAAAUUGAGCACAUUGUAAAUAACAUUUGGCUCAUUUACACAAGGCCACUUCAAAAGAGGAAACUAACAAUAUCCACAAGUGCAGACCAGCAAACAUUGGUCGUUCAUACUCCUUGUGCCUCAUCGAGCUCCCAUAUCCUGCGUCAAAGUGAGAUCAAGAUUCCUGGGGAGCUUCAAACCUCAACGGAGUGUCGAUUCCCAUCAUGCACAUGAGUCCUGAUAUCAAGAUGAUAAGAAGCACUAUUCCCUGUGACAGUACACAAGUGUGAGAAAAUAAUGCAGGUAUUCAAGGUACACUGAUAUGCAAACAAUUAAUCUACUUUCAGAAUAGAACUAAGAAGUAAUGAAACUGACUAUAAGUAACAACUUACCACAAAAGUUCCUUCAAGAAGAGUUGAUUUGACUAGGCACUCUCCAUCACAUUUGCUCAGGCCAGCUUUAGUAGUAGUAUUGGUCUUCUCUGCAAGAUGCCUACCUAGAGGCUCCCUGGAAGGGUUCUCCAGUAAACCAGAUGGUUGAGAAGCAUAAAGAAUCGUGUAUUUGACCCCCAAAUCCUUCAGCAUGUAAACUAGCGCGGAAAGCAACUCUCCUGGCAUGUCAUUGUAGAAAUUUAGCUUUCAGCAGUAAAUUGAAAGCAAAAGAACAAUGAUAGUAGCCUUUAACCUAACCUUCUGAUUUCGCAGGGUCUAAAUUCUGGAAACCACCGCUACAGAAGAUGAUUAAAUCAGUCUGACCGUCUGUGCUAAUUUUCCUGUACCUUACCAAGUCCUGCAACAUAUGUGCAGUCAAAAUAGGGAGCAAAAAUAGAACAGAAGCAGGACUAGAAAAAUAUAUAAUAGCUUACAUUGAUAGCAUCCAUGUUGGUAUACUUCUCAAGAUCUUGACCACCUACAGUACACGUGUCCGUGUAGGUGAUAUGGUUUCUUUCAAAACCAUUGUUACAAUUCUCAGCAAAGCCAGAUAGCAAUGAGUUCUCCAAUUUCUCAUCAUCUGAUGUGGAAACAUAGGGGAAUGCGAUGGAAAAAUCUGAACUUGUGAAGGAGAGCUGGUAGAAGCAUCGUGAUUAUAAGCAAUUGAAAAUUUGAUGCUUCAGUUAAACAAUAACUGAGAGGGAGAAAAAAGAGUGCCCAUGAUUACCUUCAAUGUAUCUGCUAAAGCUGGAUCAACUUGCUUAUCUUUAGAUAUGUCUGAGGAUUGUAGCUAAGGAAAAAAGAACAAGUUUAUGGUCAGUGACAACUGAAGCAAUGUCUGUCUCAGUAAUAACUUCACCAUAUAUAGAUUCACAUAUGGAUAAUUUACUAGUUUUAUAAAUUUAUGGAAUCAACAAACACAAUUCUAUCAGAAAUAUUGACUUUUAAUCUUCACUUUAUGCACAACCACUGCUUCAAUUUAAAAAAUGUAUUUAAUUUGAACAAUAUUUGCACAAGCAGAUUACUUAAAACCAGAAGAUAUUAGAUGAGCAUUAACUAAGUACCUUUGAGCCAAUGAAAACAACGGCAACAUCAACAUUCUUCUGAGCAUCCUCCCUUGAACACUAAGAACAAAAUCAUGACAUUGGGAACUUAUUAAACUUGUUUCAAUGCAGGAGCUGAUAAUUUAAGUUGCAUGAGAGCUUAAGAUUCACCAAUGAGGAUACUUACAAUAAAGUUUGACCAGCCACCUUCCUCAAGUACAGAUUUAGCUAAACUCUUUGGAGAGACAGUCUGAUAGUGGACUAUUUCCUUAGUAGCAUCAGAACGGAAUCUGGAAGAAAAAGGUCAAUGGAAUGUAGGUAAAUUCUAAGGUAGUGAACUUACAUGUGCUUGCCAAAAUAAUCAUUUGAAGCAGCAGCAGCAACAACAACAACAUAGCCUUUCAGUCCCAAGCAAGUUGGGGUAGGCUAGAGUUGAAACCCAACAAGAGCCACAAAUCAAGGUUCGGGCACAUGAAUAGCUGUUUUCCAAGCACUCCUAUCCAGGGCUAAAUCUUUGGGUAUAUUCCAUCCCUUCAAAUCUCUUUUCAUUGCCUCUUCUCAUGUCAAUUUUGGUCUUCCUCUGCCUCUCUUCACAUUACUGUCACGUCUUAGGGUUCCAUUACGCACCGGUACCUCCGGAGGCCUUCAUUGGACAUGUCCAAACCAUUUCAACUGGUGUUGGAUAAACUUUUCUACAAUUGGUGCUACCCCUAACCUAUCACGUAUAUCCUCAUUCCGGACUCGAUCCCUUCUCGUAUGACCAAAAAUCCAACGCAACAUACGCAUUUCCGCAACACAAUAAAUAUUUAAGGUACAAGAAAUAUUUAAGAUGAGCUAGUAAGUUUGGCUCAAGUCAGCAACUAAGUGGACUGAUAAGACACCGAAAUUGAACAGGGCAUCAUUGGAUCUAGUCAGCAAGUAACUGAACUUAGGUCACUGAAUAAUUAGGUACCAGAGUAUUGGAAAGAAAAGUAUUGCAUCCAUCGCGUGCAUCAGAAUCUAGGUGCAGCAUGUAACCUAGACAGCAAAGGUUGAUUAAUGAUUGAGAUGUAUUACUGCAUGGAUGUAAAAUUCCCUGAUAAAAGAAACUCCAUACUGCUGAAAACUAGUUAUUGUUUUGUUUAAUGGAAUCCAUGGCUUCAAGUUCCAUUGCAAUUAGAGGGCAGAGAUGGUACUGAAAAAGUAAGAGCCAAAAGUAACCCAGGCUCAUACUCUAUGUACCAAAACAAGGGCAGCAUACAAAUAUACAAUAGUUUCAAGCACAAACUAUACGAUGCCACAAUGUUCACUGUGUGACAUCAAAGACACAAAUUUGCCAUUAGUUAUUCAACUUUUAAAGGGCCACUGAAUUUAUGAAUUCCCCAGGCCUAAAGUCAGAAUCCUGAACUUUCAAUAGUAUGUUGGAUGACAUGCAUUUAAAAAAAAAUACACGUAAAAGUCGUCUGACAGAAUGUGGUAAUGCACAAAUCAAGCUGCAGUAAAGAGUAAACUGUUAUUUGCUCGGAAUGAGAUGUGGCAUGCUCUUCUAUAGCAUGGAAAUCGACAGAUGAAGUCUAAACACAUAGCUAAUCUAAUUAUCCCACUCAUUGGGCCAUCAUAUUCUUAUUUAACACAAGGCAAUACUGAACAGACUGCCAAUAAAGAAACUCAUCCUUGAACAAAGAUUAGUAAAUUUCAUGUGUAUGACAAUGCUUUGUAUACCAAGUCAGAACGGUUUCUACUUCCUAAGUGAAGCAUCACAACCAUUACCCCCAACAUUAACAUCACCCAUCUUUUACCUAACACGGGAUCUCGUGCUAGGGACGGACGCAAAAGAUGAAUGAGCACAGCGAAUUACCCACCCGUAGUUCUUAGGCGCCCAGAGGAACGCCGGUGCCAGCACCGGCGCCGCCGAGGACACCUGCGCUGCGACGAGCAACACCGCCAGCACCGCCCAUGCCGCCGCCAUCUGAUCGAAUCGAAUCCCCACCGAUUGUUAAGUUAGAGGCCAAAAAAUUGUGGAAAAUUGUUGAAACAAGAAUCGAUCUGGGCUGUUGAACGCAGAGAUCUCGGAAAAAUCUUACCUUUGGGCGAGCAGGGAUCAGAGAUUGGGGAUUUGUGCUGCCUGGCUCGGUGGGGUUCCUGUCCUCUAGGUCGCCGUGGCUGCGAUCUGAAUCGGUAUCGCUAAUUCUGGAGGUCACAGGAGCCAGCAAGUCGUUAGUAGCUACCACCACGCUUAUUGCAGAGACACUGACCUGUGGGCCCAGAUAGCAGAGGCUAUCUUUAUGUAUUCAAGUUCGUGUCGUGAUAGAGUUAAGCCUCUACGUCACAGCAUCCAACUCUCUUCCCCCAACAAAAAGAAAAAAGAAACGAAAAUUGGCGAGUUCGUGUGUUUGGCAGAUCAUCUGGAGCUGAUUCUCUACUGGAUCUAUCAGAAAUUUUGCCAAAUAAUUUUUCAGAGAGAAUUGAUUUCUGCUCAAUCUAUCAGAAGUUUUGCCAAAUAAUUUUUCAGAGAGAAGUGAUUUUCUUCUGAUUCUGUGAAGCUCUGAAAUGAACUAAGAGGAUGGGGAUAAAAAAAUAAAUAAAUUCUUCUGAUUUUAAAAGUUUAUAUUCAAAAAUAAAAAAAAUCACUUUCUGUUGGAGAAGCACCUCCUCCUACCUCUACACCGUAAGAAACACACCGUGACACCGAAGCUCGUAGCAGCAGCAGAUGACAAAUCGGAACGAUUGGCUAUGAGGCCAGGUGUGGGAUUCAGCACAGGACAAACAGCAGCCUCAACUCUUAUCUCCCACGAUCCACAGAAAGAACUUAAUCGAAAGCAACAGAAUAAUUCAUUUGGCAAACAAAACCAAGGCCUCCUCCCCUGCUGACCAGCAGCGCCGGAUCUGAUGGAAGCCGCAGCGGCUACUACCUCCUCCCUGGUCCUCUUCUCCACUACUCCCAGGAGAUCACCAAUUUCAAGCUUCGCUUCCCCCUCGUUGCUUCUUCGGCCUCCCUGCAACUACAGCUGCUCCGUCUCCAGUGCCAAGCAGCAGCAUCUGGUUUGCCUGGCUGGGCCGUGGCUGAACAGCAAGAAGAGCAGGGUCCUGAGGUGUUCUUCCAGCCUCGCUGACGGCGCAUCAACCGUUCGUUCUUCAGUAAGAUGGGUUCUUGAUCCUGCAGGUUUGCUACACCCUACAUCAGUGAUUCCUCCAUUCCUCUAGUAGGAGUACCUCCAAAGUAUGUCGUGUCCUACCGAAUUGAAUGUGGCAUCUGCGAUUUACCACUAGUCCGUUGGGGUUCUGAAUGUCCUCAUAUUCUUUACCGACUCUUAUCAGAUUAUUGUUCCUGAAGAGCUAGCGUUAUCAGUACUCAACAGCCUGCAUUUGCAUGCAUACCCAUUGCUGGAAUUGGACUUGGAAAUGUGCAUGCGUCUCUUUCUUGCCCUUUGUUGCAUAAUAACAGAACUCAAAUGCAUUCUGGUCCUUGCAUUGUGCAUUUCAGGCGACGGCGACUGGCGCCACAUCGGCUACAAAGUUGCACGCCCCGGCGCGUUCGAGAUAGCCUCCGUACGUGCUGCUUUUGUGCUGCUCACAUAUCAUCAUCAUCCUCUUUAUUUCUGUACCGCGAACAACUGACAUUACCACUGUAACCGCAACAUGUUUCUACUCACGCGCGUUGACAAAAAGAAUCGUUUGUGGUGUCCAGGAUGCGGUGACCGUUGGUCGGGUCGCUGACAAGGCUGACAUCGUCCUCCCCGUCGCCACAGGUCACUUCUUGCAAAUCCAGUCACUGAUUCUCAUUUCUACAUUGUUGUUCUGAAACUGAUAAGUAAGCAUGGACGAAAUUCAGGAAUCAGGACCGUACUAAAUUGUUUCGCGAUCUGAUCUUGCAUUCCCUGUGCGCGUAUAAAAAUGCAGUUUCAGGCACGCACGCUCGGCUGGAGAAGAAGGAUGGGAGGCUGUUCGUGACGGACCUGGACAGCACCAACGGCACCUACAUCAACGAGCGCCGCCUCAACCCUGGCUUCCCCAUCCCCAUUGACCCCGGCAGCCUCAUCAUCUUCGGUUUGCGCCGAUGACUCACUCCGAUUCAGUAAUUAAGAGAAGAAAAGUAAGGCUCUUUAUUGGUUGUCAACUGUGGAAUUUGCAUUUUGCAUCUAUAUAAUGCAGGUGACAUCCACUUGGCGAUGUUUCGUGUGAGGAAGAUGAUAGUUGAGGCGACCAGCGAGACGGACGCAGCACGAGAAGAAACCAAGACCGAGGUAGUUUCAGCUGCAACAAGCUAGGAAGCUCUGAUGCGUUCCGAGUGCCCUACGCUACUAGAAUGUCCGGAAUAAGGAUGCUCUAUAUGUGGCGUUUCCAAAAAGAGCGUCACACACUUUUUUUUUUACGAGAUGUGAGUCAUAUUCAACCUGAAGGGAAGGCACAAGGACAAAGAUAACCGAUUGUAGUAAAAAUCUGCAUCCAUCUCUCUCUGAGUUAGCUUUUAAAGAAGAGACGAUGCACUAUCUCUUUCUCCUCACAUGCUCUCUCUUCCAUGUAAGUACAAUGAUGCGUUGAGUUCCUAUGAGCUAGCUAGCUAAUGUGUUUAUUGUUUGAAGAGGCCCAAUCAAAUGCCUGUUAAAAUAGAGAUGUUGCAUCUACAAGAGUAGAGGCAAAGUAUGCUUCAACCAACAAGUCAAAGCGCUAAGGUUUGCACAAUCAUCUCCGGGGCUACCACCAAAUCUCGCCUUUGGCUAAGAAUUCCGUAAAAUCUUUCCCAUGCUUGAGUAAGUUUUUCUGUGACUAGGACGAAUGUGGCCACCUUCUUAACCUUGCGACAAGCUUCUGAACCAUACAUAUCUAGUCUAGCACAAACGCUCUUCAACAGGCUUCCCAAUUUCCUGCAAUUUGAGCUAUACCAAUCAUACGCCCUUCCUGUCAAUGAAAACGGGAAGAGGUACCAUAUUUUCCAAGAAUAUGGCAUUCCCUUGUACUUAAAAGUUGAGCAAAUGUGGUUUCCGAGGAUCGUUGCGAGAAAUGCAGUACAUUCGAGGUCGAGGAGCAGAUAGAUGGAUAGAUUUUCAGAGCUUGUGGCAACACGCUUCUUUGACAAGUGCUUGGCAGAAUGAAAUGGCCAAAAUUUAUAGCCAGCAGAGCCAAGACUGAUCAACGCAGGUCCCCCAGGAAACAGGUCCCCGAGAGGCUCAUGGGCAGUUUUGUCAUUUCAGGUAACUGUUAACGGAAGAAGGAAUUAAUAAAUAAAUAAAUGAGAGAAAAUUGCAUGAAAAACAAUGUGUCUAGGAUACAAGUGGUAAUCUUACGAAGCCAAAUUUACAACAAGGCACCUAUUGAAAGUGGUAAAAAUCCAACUUCUCGUCACAAAUGGGUAAAUACACUUUUGUAAACUCUUUGUGCUCGAGUCAGCAUCAAAACUACCUUAUCAGAUCAACGGGUUGUUCUGAUGCAUACCAGUAUUCUCUUACGAGUAGUAUGCGGCGCUGUAAAGGUCCUCAGACUAAAGGAGGGUGGGAUACUCCCAUGGUCUUGGCCUACCAAUUGUAGCAGUUGGCCAUUGCUCCAAUCCAACUCUAAGUAAUCCAGUGAAGAGGGGAAGUGUGGCUUCACCAUCAGUUUAGGACAUUUCUCUAUACAUAUAUAUGAUAGACGAUUACCAAUUGCAACUUGUCCCACGUGAUGGCAACUGUAGUUGCUGCCACAUUCUGUUUCCUCCCCACCAGAAACGAACAUCCAAAAUUCUCCUAAACUAGGCAGAUCAUUCAUCUUCAACUCCAUCAGUGAAGGAAAUGGACCUCCACUUAUGCUCUCAAGAGCAGGCAUUCUUCGCAGCUCAAGUUCCUCUAAGCAAGGCAACUCGACAAGACCCUCCAGCUGCUUCAGUUUUGGUAAGUCUGAUAGUGUCACCUCGGUCAAACGUGGAAAAUGUGAAAGCGCUUGCACGCUCCUGAUUCCAACUUGCUUCUGCAUCCACCUCAUGUACUGACAACCCGCAUACCCGAUGAUUCUUAGAACUCGAAUCCCAGAUGGUGGUUCCAGACCAUCCAAUAUAGCCAACUCAUUGUCUGUGUUCAUUGAGUCAUCAUGACACCUCCCACAUUUGGAAUGGAAGUCAUUACACCUCCAAUUUAACGUAAGCAUUUGUAAGUUCAUCUUUUGCUUCAACCAUGCACUGUGUGCAUCAGCGGGGCUCAUAACAUGUGCAACACCUCUAAUAGAUAGUUUCCCGCUGAUCCUAAUAAUAUUACCAAUCUCUGAAAUUUUUGCAGAUGUUUCGCCAUCUCCCACAGCAAAUAAACCCAACUUUUGUAGUCGUCUGAGCUUUCCAAUCCCUACUGGCAUGCUACCCAGUCCAUUGCAUCCAUCUAGGUCCAAAAUUUGAAGCUUAUGCAAGUUGCCGAUGCCUUCAGGCAACUCUACAAGUCCAUGGCAUUCAUGAAGGUCCAAACACUCCAGAUUUCUCAGUGUUGUGAUACUUGAUGGCAGCCUCUCAAUUUUGGUAUAACCUAGUCUCAAGACUCUGAGGUUUGUAUUCCUGAUUAUAGAGUUUGGCAAAACUGUAAUCUCCUUGCAGUUGCAAAGAUUUAUGACUGAAAUCAUUUGACAAUCACCAAUAGAAUCUGGUAAACACAUCAGCUUUACACACUGUGACAGGUUAAGUGUUCUUAACUUCUGCAGCUUACCAAUGGAUUUAGGCAGCUUGAGAAGAUCGCUAAAUGUUACAUGGAGAGCUUGUAGGCUCCAAAUAUUUGAAAUGGCAUCAGGGAGUACUUCACAUCUUAGUCUUGAAAUCCCUAGAUAUUUCAGAUUUUUCACUUGAAAUAUGACAGUGGGCAGGAUUGCUGCAUACAAACGCUCCAUGGUGAUACUGCGCAAGUGUCUUGCAUUCUUCAAUGUGUUGCCAAAUGUUGUAUCGUCACCAUUAUCAACAUAUAUAGCACGUGCUUUUUCAAAACGAUUUUUGGAUGGAAAUUUUAUUUCAUGUCCAGUUAAAGAGAAGUAUCUGUAGCUCUUUGUUGAACUGGUUUCCUCCUUUGGCACAAAAAUGUCCGUGACUGACUGAGCAAGAUCAUGAACCAAAUCAUGCAUCCUGCAUGUCACUCUUCCAUUAUAUUCAUUCACAUCUUGUAAAAAAAAUACUUGCAAAAGAGAACCAAAGUAUCUGUGGCCAAUAUACUCCAAGCAGUGAACACCAUCCAUCGGAAUGAUCAUAUCAUGAGCAAUCCAUAUGUCAAUCAAUUGUUCUUUAUCAAUCUUGUGACCUUUAGGGAACAUUGAACAUAUUGUGAAGCACUGCUUCAGAUGAGAUGGCAAAUGGAAAUAGCUCAACCUCAGGCAUGCAAAUACUGACACACUAUGAUCUUCACCCUUAACAUCUAACAAAUUGUUGUCUCUCAUGGCCUGCCACUCUUCUAUCCGUUCCCUGCCACGUAGAGCACCUGCAAGAACUUUAAUUGCUAGCGGCACUCCAGCACAUUUUUUCACAAUCUCUUUUCCAAUCUGUUCAAAUUCAAAAUCCCAACCUUUCCUAGGUAUUACUAAACAUUGUUGGAACAGCUGCCAGCUGUCACCUGGAGACAAGAGUGGCAAGUCAAAUUGGUAUGUGGAUUCAACUGUUACUGCGACUUGUCUACUGCGAGUAGUGAGUAAAAUCCCGCUUCCAGAGGCACCAUUGUUCAGAUAUACCAUGAGCUCUUUCCACUUAAUCCGGCUCUCUGUCCAAACGUCAUCCAAUACAACGAGAAACCUCUUUCCGGUCAACUUGUCUAAGAUUUUGUUGCUCAUAUACGGCAAGGCAUGCUGUCCAGGAUCUCUAUUGGCUAUAGCUUCAAACAGUUUCUUGAUGAGAUUAUUGACAUCAAAUUCUUGCGAAACAUGAACCCAUAGUCUAACUUCAUAAUGCUUCUCUAUAAUGUUACCAUCAUUGAAAACUAGUUUAGCCAAUGUAGUUUUCCCCGAGCCUCCAAGCCCGAUGAUGGAAAAAAUCCUGAUUCUCUGUCGGUCAUUAGUCUUUAUGAGUUUAGAUAUUAUUUGGUUCUUUUCUUGGUCUCUUCCGAGUACUGAUGCCACAUCCACGACGGGCAAUGAUGGGCUGUUCGCAGGAAUCUCAUUCAUAUAAGCAGGAUGACCAAUUGGUGGUAAGCUAUUUGCUAUUACACUUGAGUCAGUUCUUUGCUUCACAAUUGCAGCAAAUCUCCUAUUAAUCGCCUUGAUCUUCUUAGCCGCCUUGCAGUGAAAAAUAAAUGAUUUUGGUUGUAGGCACAUAUAGUUGGACACAAUACCACCAGCAGCAGAAGCGUCAUGUUUCUCAGCCCUCAUCUGGAACUCAUCAACAACAUCAUCAACAGCGUAAGCAAAAUCUUUCAACUGUUUGAGCCAGUUAAAUGAUGCAUCAGUCUCCAUGGCUUGACAUUCUGCCCUUUCCAACCAAGAGUUUAUCUCCACAACUCGAUCCUGGAGCUCCUGGAGAUCUUUCUCCACACCAACUAUAGAGCUGUACUUUUUUAUUACUGGUGGAGCUAACUUGUUGCCCACAAUCUUCAAUAUUCCAGAUACUACAGCAGAUAUGGCAGCAGCUUCCACACCAGUCAUUUCUUUUUUAUACCUCUCUUGUGCCAGAAGUUCCUGCAGAAUGAAUUCAUGGUGAGCUGCUAAUCUGGACACCAGAUAAAUAAAUAAAGCUGUGCUAAAACUUGGGCUCUGCAUGAUACAACUACUUCACGGGAGAAGUUCAAGUGCACAAAAAAUUCUAACAGAAGUAUGAAUAGAUAGCACCUAACCCAGUAUUCAUGGGAGAAGUUUCAUGCUGGACGAUUCAUUUGUUUCUUAUUUUGCUGCCUUCAUGUGUGACCAGUACUGACAACAGUACGAUAGAAGUUUUUGUUCAAAAAUAAUAGUAGUCUGAUAGGAGUGUAUGAAACAGCAGUUGAUAUAUUAGAUGUGUGACCUGGGUAAAUAGGUGCUUUAGUACAGCCCUAGCCUUUUGGUCUUCGAGUUGCUGAAUUGCUCUUCUGCAAACAAUCUAGGCUUCUUGCUCCUGACACUAAAAAUGAAGUUGCAGCGAAAUAUAUGUCAGGAAAAAUCAGAGAGCAACCUAUAUGAGAUACAAAGAACAUGAAAGUGAACCACUUAAUGAUGCGAACAUUAACAUACCAUGGCCUCCAGAACUAGAAGAAACAAACACAGGAAUCUUUUACUGUGAUUAUAUGAUUUAUGGCUGAUGAGUUCUACUGUUUUCAAUACCCGAGAGAAUAUGCAGAACAAAGGGAAAUAGUCUUUGCAGAAAAUUUGCGGUGAAAGCAGAAAGUAUAGUCGUAAGAGGCGACAUGGAUGAAAUGAAAUGACUGGAGCAAGGAACACAAUAAAUAGCAUGUUACGUUAUUGGUUAGAAAUACCUGGAGCUCAGGGAUCUGCUGCGUUUGUUCGUGCCAUUUCCAGAUCCAGAUGCAGCUUCCUUUUCUCCUCUGCAAUGUAUGCAAACCAGAGCUUCUGAAAUCUGAGUAUGCGGCAGUUGCACAAUGCAGGCGCUAACUUAGUUCGAGCCAGCCUAGUAGACCUUGAUGGGCAGGGAUGAGAGAAAUUCAGUGCAUCUGUUAGCAUGUGAGUUGCGACGCUUCCUUUCUGGAGUUAUCAACUGCCAGUAGUCAAGACACGAGGAUAAUGUUAAUGAGUGUACGGCCAAGCGUCCCGAGGGCCACAUACUCCUGUUUAUUCCAAUGGACCAGAACCACUGAAUGGAGCAAUUCGAAUUUGGUCCCUCCUGUUAGAAUCAAUUCGAGUACUAACGCAAUAUUAUGCUUUCAGACCUUGUCAGUUCGACGAAAUGGGUAAAUGCAGUGAUUUGGACCUUUGUAAUUUGUAAAUAGUCUGCGAUCUCAAGCUACCAUCUAUCCAGAUACAGUAGCGCUCAUGUCAUGCGUUUAAGCUUGUAUACUUGUCGAGUGUUUGACUUUACAACUUGUAUUUAAAGGCUUUAAGGGGUAGGAUCUUUCAAUUCUCCCAUAGUAAUGUGUUGCCACUGCAAAUGUUCACGAGCUGCGCUGUUGUUGGGGACAAGAGUGAUUGACCGACUCUGAGUGUCUUUGUCAAGUGCCAAUGCAAAAGGUGAAAAGAAAAAAAAAAGAGGAUGCUGAGCUAGAAACGUGAAGGAAAAAACCAGAGUACUCACAUUGUGCAUGCCAGGCAGGGAUUGGCCGACGCGGAGAGAAGACGUUCUUAUUCAUGUAAUCAUGUCACAAGAAGAUGGAGGGAGACAAACGAGCAAGGAACUGUUUAGUAUCAGCCAGGGAAGGUGGUGGCGCAUUUCGUCGAAAGGGUGGCGCGCACUGCCUGCUGUCGAGUGUUGCCGCGACCACCAGCACAACCCCCGUCCCUUUCCCUCGACGAGGCUCGGCACUCUGCGUUCCUUCGUCUCUUAUCGAUGAACCAUGCUCAUGCGUGCUUCAGUGGCCGCACGGGAAAGCCAACAGAAGCGACGAUUCAGGACUCUGGUCUGGAAAGCGCUGUGUGCAUGUGUCGGACGGGCAAGCUCAACGCAAGUAGCCCCAUGAAAAAGUUGCAUUCCACAUGGGUACUGAAAUUUCGAGACCUUCAAGCACCCAACGCAGGACGCUCUUACUUUUUCUACCAUGACCCUACUCAUUUUCUCUCCCCCCCUCCCAAGUCAGUUUUUCUCGUUGCUUUUCCUCUCUCACAACAGCUAGAGCGCUUGCUUUUUAAUCCCAAGCCACUGCACCUUCUGCAGGGCACACUGACGGACUGCAAGCGCCCAAACCGGUUGAGCUGGACUUCUGUGUCAGGCGGGUAAACUUGAGGCUACCAGCCACGUAGGAGCGUUGGGCCUGCUCUUAGAGAUGCAUCAAGCGCAUGGCGGCCGCAGAGAGAAGCUAAUAAACGAGAAAAUUUAAAAGUUGGGUUGCCGCAAGGAGCCAGCCAUGGCUUUCCAGUUUCCAUGGGAUCAGGCAACGACAAGCUGGCAACAUGCUUCGGUAAUACGGCGACAUCAUAGUACAUCACUAAUUCCCUAUUAACAAUGUGCACACAAGACACUAAUAAAUAGCAAUGCGAUUGCGAGCAGCAUACCAAACACGAGGACGAAACAGGGGAGCCAUGUGACUCUGUGAGAAUACAUUUGACUGAAAUACUGCCGACUGUACAUUAGUCAUGUCAAUAGGUAUCAUCCCUACCAAUCACAAAAAUAUGAUUCAUACCCGAAUUGAAUUGCAACCAUCCACACGCAGCAGUGGGCACGACAUAAAAAUACAACUUGAUUUCCAGAACCACAAACAUUUCAACUCAAAACCUAAUUGUAAUGCUACAGAAAUUUGAACCACAAACAUUUGAGCUCAAAACAUGACACAUAAUUUUAUCUCAACCAACAGCAAAAAAAUGCAGCUAUAUGUUACCAAAAUCUAGCUGUAGCCAGACACAGCAGCAAUUCGCUUCAAAGGCCCAAACCAACAAGGACACUGGAUUCAUCAAGCUUACCAAGCAGAGCACAUUCAUAAUAAUAAUAACAGACACACACCAUUGCCAAACAUUGCCAAGGAAAGGAUAUCACUGCAGGGGUGACACAGACAACAACCGGUUUACAAACAACACGCCAAUGGGCAGUGUAUUCAAAUAGUACAAUCAAGUGAGCAACUGCACCAACAUAUCUAUAAGGAGGAAACAGUAAGAGGAAGAACGUGCACAAGGAACUCACCCUCACAAGUCGCUAGCCCAAAAAUUCUACAGUAAACAAACAUAUUUUCAAGCCCCCCAAAUGUCUGUCUAUUCCACGUCCAUAACAUAAACAGACUUCACUAAACAUCAAGAGUCAAAUAAGUAACUCAACAGAAGAAUAGAAUCAGAACGAUAGAUCAUGUUUUGCCACUAUAAUGCCAUAUAGACUUGCGGUACAACGAUUGGAGAAGCAAAUAAUUUAUCUCAUUCAGUAAUUAGCUACUAAGCACAGCUACUAUCACAUUGCUUGAGUGAAUUAAUGCAAGACAAGCUUCACAUCUAUCUGACUGGAAUACACAUUUCCAAUGCAUUGCGGUAGUUGGGAUGGAUCAGCCGAUCAACAGAAAAACUACCCAACAAUGAGCAACCCAAAAGUCAUGCGAACAAGUGUCUAUCUGACUGGAAGACACAUUUCCUAUGCAUUGUGUAGUUGGGAUGGAUCGGUCGAUCAACGGAAAACUACCCAACAAUGAGCAACCUAAAGCAGUCAUGCGAACACAAGUGUCUAUCUGACUGGAAGACAAAUUUCCUAUGCAUUGUGUAGUUGGGAUGGAUCAGCCGAUCAACAGAAAACUACCCAACAAUGAGCAACCUAAGCAGUCACGCGAACACAAGUGUCUACAGUCAUACCCCUCCAUUCCACAAGUUAAGGCAAGGAAGAUAGCUUAACUAAUAUGGGUGAAACGCAUGAAACAGGUGCCCCGUAAAAUUGAAAUACUAAUUUUACAUAGCACAAAGAACUUAAACCAUAUCAGAAUCCCUUGACAUCGAUAAUAAGCAAAACCAUACUUCAGAGACUAUUCAAAAUCUCACAAUCAUAUCACAAUGUCAAAACGGUUCAACACUAGGCUUAAAAGUCUAAACUUUAAGGUAAAGCAGCAGCUAGAUAUAGAACCAGAUAAGCAGCUCGAUUGAUAGGAGAUGAAGCCAACAACACCGACAACGGUGUGGCAAAUUUUGAUGCGGCAAGCAAUCGCUCAACGGUAGGACUUCUGGAACCUGGCGCGGGCACCACGACCACCGAACUUCUUGGGCUCGCAGCGCCUGGGGUCGGCGACAAGGAGGGUGCGGUCGUAGCGGCCGAAGAUGUCCUUGACCUCCUUCUUGGCGGCCUCGUCGACGUACUUCUGGUAGUAGGCGACGAGGGCCUUGGCGAUGGCCUGGCGAAUGGCGUAGAUCUGCGACGUCUUCCCUCCGCCGCGGACGCGGAUCCUCAUGUCGAUGUCCUUGAACCGGGAGCGCCCAGCGAGCAAGAUGGGCUCGAAGGCCUUGAGGCGGAGCCCCUCCGGGCGGAUCAGCUCGAUGGGGGCGCCGUUCACCUUGAUCAGCCCGCGCCCCGGCUUGGUGUAGGCCACGGCCACGGCCGUCUUCUUGCGGCCGAAGCACUGGACCGUGCCCGCGGUGGGUCGGGUGAGCACGGUAGACAUGGUGGCGGUGGUGACUGCUGGGAUCGCAGCGGCGGCGGUAGGGCUUUGGCGGCUUGGGGUGGGGGGCGGCGGAGAGACGGGAGCGAAAGGAGAGAAGGAUUAUAUAGCCUGGAAGCGUUAGGGUUUUGACUGAUCGCCGCGGCUCGGAGGAUGACAUGUGGGUCCGAAACGAAUGGUUGGGCCCGUAAGUGAACCUAUUGGAUUUCUGGGCCUCCUCCGUAUAAUACUGGGCCUCGGAUGCCUCAUUUGGUGGGUAAGGCCCAAAGGCGUCGUCUUCUUGCGAUAAAAGGCCAUGGCGGAAGGAGGAAGAAGCUAGGGUUUCGGCCCUCACGAACACUACUUGAUCUUAUCCGAGCGAGCCGUCCGGCGCCGCCGCAGCGGCCGGAGUCGCCUCUCCCGUGGCCGUGUUGCCCCCGCUGCCCUCCUGGGCUUGUGGGAUGGUGACGCGGCUCGUUGGGGUAAAGAGGCGGCGAUGGCGCUGAGGCUGCUGCCGGCGACUCGCGAUGACGACUGCCCGCGGUCGGAGCGCGCGCGAUGAUGGCCGCGCGGGUUCACCCCAACAACAUACAGUUCACGAAUUUAUGUUUUCGGUGGUUUCUUUUCAGAUUUCUUUUUUAUUGUAUUGUAAACUUCAAAACUGUAUUAUUCUGCCAAAAAAAACUUAUGUGUUGUUUGACUUUGUCUUAGGUUUGUACUUAAUCGGUUUUAUGGCCCAGUUGUAUUAUAUUUUACCUUCACUUUUUUCUUCUAUUUAUGGUUGACAGGUUACCUUGGUUUCUAAAGAAUAUUUGCCCUCUGAUGUCAAUUGCUGUCUUUUAAUUUUCUCUUUCGACUUUGGUCAUGUUAUCAAUACCUUGCUGGGCUCAGUUGAUUUCUAGGACAAUGAUGGAUGCAAACAGCUAGGAGCCCAUGUUCGCAUAGUAUUAAGCUUGAAUACUAUCUGCUAUUAUAGUUUGGAUAUACCUUAAGUAAGUUCAUAGCAAUGUGCAUGCUUCAACGGUUAGGAUAUGCACGAUAAUGUGUUAGGAUUGUAAAUGUUUUGGCUCACUCGGCAGUCGGUGUCGACAUAUCAGAUGCUUGUAGGUGCAGGACUGUUGAUUUACUAUCGUGCCACUGCAUUGCUUUACAAAUUCACAUUAAUUGUACCAUUGUGCAUUUUAUGACAAGAGCAAGGCUUGAAAAUUCGCCUGUUUGUACAGUGUUGUUUCAACAGAAAGCAGACAAAUCUGAUAUUCAGUUCAGCUGUCUGUUUGCAUGGUUACCUUAGUAUGCUGUCUGGUGAAGAUUAGUGGCUUUCAGUUCAGAACAAAGCCCCCUUAAUCAAGUGCAAGGAUUGGCAUGCAAGGGUUUGAAUAAAGGUCGUUGCUGGUGUCAGCCAGGAGCAGGGACCAAUUGUUUAGAGCAGCUCACUACUUAGCAUUUGGUGUUUUUUAGGUUGCUGCUACCCCUGGUGUAAUUUUUCAAUUUAAGAUAAGAUUUUCAGUUGGAAAACAGAUCACCUUCAAGUUGUAUUUCUUCCUAAUCUUAUAAAAUAAUGACUCCUGGUUCUUAGGCAUUUCGUGAAAAAAGUUAUCUCACUAUUCUUGGUCUGUCUUACAAGAGUGUCACUUCUCUCAUUUAUGGUGAUUCCCUUUAUUCAGUUGCCAAGUUAUCCCAAUCUUGUUAUUACAUUAUCCAUCCACACGAGCUCAAUCCAAGUAUGUUCGCACUUCUGUUUGGUCUUCUCUGAUGCAUCAACAGCAAUCUGUGCUUGGCUUGGAGCUGCAAGGUGAUGAUAUGCUCUUGAGAAUGUUGUAGUUCAACAGAAAUAUUCUGGCAAAUUCAAACACCGUAGUCAUGAUUCUGAUGCUCAUGUUAAGGCACUGAUGGCUUUUCUGUGAAGCAGAAAGAUGACGGUGUUGCUACCGUCAAGAAUGAAGUUUGAGUUGAAUACAUUGAAUCUGUGCAUUUGCUAUUGUCCCAAACCUGCAAAACUAUGUCAGGACAAAUUGUCCAAAUUUCUCAGUGAUUCAACCUAUUGUAUUUCUCAGUGGCAGAUUCAGUGUGUCAGUAGGAGCACUGCGCUGUUAACGUGUUCACUGCAAACAAAUUGCCUGCUGAAAUGAAUUGUUGUAAACAUGUGUCACC